rnacentral:lncRNA from 1 species
UCUGAGCUUCAAUAACUUGUCAGGGUAUAUCCCGUUGCCUCUUUACAAUAUGUCUUCACUCAAACACUUCAGUUUAGGCAGCAAUGGCCUUGUUGGGCAGUUACCAUCUGACAUUGGUAACUCACUACCAAAUCUCCAGGUGCUUGACCUAUCAAAUAACUCCUUGCAUGGUCGUGUUCCGCCUCUUGGGUCGUUGGCAAAAUUGCGUCAAGUGCUUUUAGGAAGGAAUCAGCUAGAAGCAUAUGACUGGCAAUUCCUUUCCUCACUAACAAAUUGCACACAGCUGACAAAAUUGUCCCUGGAGGGAAAUAUGAUGAAUGGCAGCCUACCUGGAUCAAUAGCUAAUCUUUCCACAAGCCUUGAAUAUUUAUUGCUUGGGUCCAACCAAAUAUCAGGCUCCAUACCUGUUGAGAUAAGCAAUCUUGUUAAUCUCACUAUGCUUAGCAUGGAAAACAAUUUGCUCUCAGGAAGUAUACCUGCUAUGAUUGGGAAGCUGCAAAACCUAUUUGUCCUGAACCUAUCCAAGAACAAAUUAUCAGGUCAGAUCCCUUCCUCAAUUGGUAACAUUAAUCAAUUGGGAGAGCUUUUCCUCGACGGCAAUGACUUGAAUGGAAACAUACCUAGUAGUUUAGGUCAGUGCUUAGGGUUGCUUCAGCUGAACCUAUCUGCUAACAAACUUAAUGGAUCCAUACCAGAAAAACUAUUUUCUGGACCUUCCCCUUUUUUGGGUCUGGACCUCUCCCACAACAAUCUCACAGGAAAAAUACCGGAGGCUAGUGGGAAACUUGAACAUAUCGUUCUUCUAGAUCUUUCCAACAAUCUGUUAUCUGGAGGUCUCCCUGCAAUAUUUUCGUACUUGUUCUACCUCCAGUAUAUUAAUCUUUCUCGAAACGACUUAUCGGGUAAUUUGCCAGUAUUCAUUGAAGACUUCAUUAUGUUGGAUCUGUCUUACAACAACUUUCAAGGGCAAGUUCCGACACUUGGGGUCUUUAAAAAUUUCAGUAUCAUACAUUUGGAGGGCAACAAGGGGCUGUGUUCAAACUUCUCCAUGCUAGCUCUGCCACCUUGUCCAGAUAACAUCACAGACACUACUCAUGUCAGUGACAUCACAGACACUAAGAAAAAGAAACAUGUGCCACUUCUGCCAGUAGUGGUGCCAACGGUCACGGUAGCUUUCCUGCUAUUGUUAUUUUGUUUAUUCAGUCUUUGGAAGAAAAUACAAGUGCAAACAGCCGCACGGCACAGUAAAAUAUGCAGUCUGUUGCAUCUUGUUACUCAUUGGAAAAGAGAAGGAGUUUGUAUAUUUCCACAGCUUGGUGCAUUGAGGAAUGCGUUGUGUUUUCUCACUCGUGGGACAGGAAGAGAUGUGGAAAUAUUUCCAAGCCACCAGGAGACACUGAAGAAGGUAUCCUAUGGUGACGUAGCUUAAGCUACAAAUUGGUUCUCGCCAGUCCAUAGAAUCAGUUCGACUCGUACCGGAUCAGUUUAUGUUGGCAGGUUCAAGUUUGACACUGACAUUGUGGCCAUCAAAGUAUUCAAUUUGAAUGAACGCGGUGCGCUUGACAGUUACUUAACAGAGUGUGAGGUGCUAAGAAUUAUACGCCACCGAAAUAUUCUUAAAUCUGUGACUCUGUGCUCAAGUUUGGAUGCAGAAAAUAAUGAGUUCAAAGCAAUAGUCUUUCAGUUCAUGGCUAAUGGCAGCCUUGAAAGGUGGCUUCAUCCUAAUCGACAGACUGAAAGACCAAAGAGAAUAUUAAGCUUGGGACAACGAAUAUGCAUAGUAGCAGAUGUGGCUUCUGCUCUGGAUUAUCUCCACAACCAACUGGUACCGCCUUUAGUUCACUGUGAUUUGAAGCCAAGCAAUGUUCUUUUGGAUUAUGAUAUGACUGCACGCCUUGGUGACUUUGGUUCAGCAAAGUUUCUCCCCCCAGAUUCUGGUUGCCUGAAACACUCAGUUCUUAUCCAAGGAACAAUUGGAUACUUGGCACCUGGUAAGUUUGAUCCCAUUUCCCUUUUUUUGCGGAUUACGCAAGAAUUUUAUAGUACUAAGAGCAUUGCAAAUUUUGCAGACUAUGGGAUGGGCUGCGGAAUCUCCACACGAGGUGAUGUGUAUAGCUUUGGAGUGCUUCUCCUAGAGAUGCUUACAGGAAAAUGCCCGACGGAUGAAAUGUUUGUGGACGGACUUAAUCUUCGCAAUUUUGCUGAAUCCAUGUUCCCAGAUAGGCUUGCAGAGAUUCUGGAUCCCCAUAUGUUGCAUGAGGAAUCUCAACCGUGCACAGAAGUAUGGAUGCAGAGCUACAUUAUUCCACUGAUUGCCCUUGGCCUCUCAUGUUCCAUGGGAUCUCCAAAAGAGAGACCUGAUAUGCGAGAUGUGUGUGCAAAACUCUCUGCUAUCAAAGAAAGCUUUUCUGAAGUCUCAUGAUCAAUUAUCGAAUUCCCCUUGAUGGUGUUAGUAUCAUAUGUGUAGACUGCUAAUUUGUAAUUGAGAGGGCCUGUCUAUUUGACUGACUGAAUUAAUGUUUCCAGAGAAGAUUAAGAGUUGGCAUGAGACAAAUCAAAUUCAUAUGUGAAUAGGAGGUAUUGAGCUUGAUCUGUUUCUUAUAUUAUGCACGAAGUUUGGAUGUGUUUUGAUCAGAUUUAAAAAAAAAACAAUCUAAAUUUCAUAAAAAAAGAGAGAAAAUUUUGGCUUGUCAAUGAUCAAUAUCUAGGGAAUUUUUUGCUGGCAGUGCAUUAACGCUGAAAUACCAGAGAACUUGGCUCUUUCAAUCAUUUAAUUAGGACGGACAAAUCUGAUUGCCAAUAUCGGAAGAAAUACUUUCAACAUAGUCCAGUAUAAGAAAUUAACGAGUGCCGAACUCUUCGGAGGUCCGUGAGCUGUUUCCGAUGCGGUUGCUGGUGGUGGUGGUCGAAGUUGAAGGUUGCUGACGAGACUUCCUCUAGUUGGGUUGAAAAAUCACCUGUAAUGGAUUCCGAAAACAUCCUGCUGUGGAAUAUAUGUGGGCUAGGCUAAACUCCUCUCCACAUUAUGUCAUGUUGUGUAGUACAUGAACGGGUGAGAAUUUUUUUUUAUUUUUAGCCCAAAUUUAGAACAAAUACAAAAUUUGACCCGGUUUACGAACCUGCCAGCCCGUACUGACGUGGACCCGCCAUGAUCCAUGGCGGGGUAUAACCGCGCCCGUUAAAAACGCGUUCAUUUGCCCACCUCGGCUCAUUUCUCUCCCUCUCUCACCCCGAGGGCCUCUCUUUCUCUCCCUCUCUCACACCCGAGCGCCGCUCUUCUCCAGUGACCCUCCCCGCCGUCCUUCAACCCCACCCCUUCCCGGCACCCCUCCCCGCUGCAGCCGGCCAUUGCCGAUCCUUGUCCCGGUCACCUCUCGUUUGAAUAAGGUAAAUUUCUUAUUUACUUUACGUUCAUUUGUUAAGUUCAUUUGUUUAGCUAUAGUAUGUUUGGUAAAUUUUUUAUUAUGUUAGUUUGUUUAGUUACAGUAUGUUAGUUUGUUUAGUUAUGUGAUUUGUAUUGAAUUAUUUGCGCGUUUUUAGAUGGAGGACUCGUAUCGUGAGUCGAUUUGGCGAAAAAAGGGUCGUCCUAGAAAGUUGUACCCCGACGUGUCUUGCAAGGAUGCCUCCGUGCCUCCCAAGGAACCUAUUCCUAACUGUGAUUGUGGACAUCCGACACACGUGAGCCAGUCGAGAUAUCUGGAUACUGCGGCACGUUGCUUCUACAUAUGUUAUAGUUGUAGCGUACGUCACUGUUGAAAGAUCCUAAUAUGGCUAGAGGGGGGUGAAUAGCCUAUUUAAAAAUUCUACAAACCCACUAGAGCAAGAGGUUAGUAAAUAACAAAGCGAAGCUUUUUCUCUAGCUCUAAAGGGGUGUUUGCAAGCCACCUAUCCAACAAUUCUAAUUAAUAUAAUCACUAGGCACACAAGAGCUAAGUCACUACUUACACUUGAAAGCUACCUAAAGUUUCUAUACAAGUAAGUAAGCUACUCUAGAUUGCGGGAAUGUAAAAAGAGAUGGUUUGAUCUUUAUACCACCGCGUAGAGAGGAUGAACCAAUCAAUAAUAUGAAGUCCAAUCACCGGGAGAAAUCCAAUGAACAAUCACAAUAGAGACACACAAUUUCCUCCCGAGGUUCACGUGCUUGCCGGCACGCUACGUCCCCGUUGUGUCGACCAACACUUGGUGGUUCGGUGGCUAAGAGGUGUAGCACGAACCUCGUCCUCACUAGGACACCACAAGAACCUACCCACAAGUGAGGUAGCUCAAUGACACGAGCAAUCCACUAAUGUUGCCUUUGACUCUCCGCCGAGGUAGGCACAAACCCCUCACAAUCACCGGGAGAUGGCCACGAACAAUCACCAACUCAUGCCAAUCCUCCUCCGCUGCUCCAAGCCGUCUAGGUGGCGGCAACCACCAAGAGUAACAAGAAAACCGCAGCUAGAACGAUCCCCAAGUGCCACUAGAUGCAAUCACUCAAGCAAAUGCACUUGGAAUCACUCCCAAUCUCACAAAGAUGAAUAAUCUAUGAAGGAGAUGAGUGGGAGGUGUUUGCUUAGGCUCACAAGUAUGUCAAGUAUGCUAGAAUGCCAAGAGUGUGAGCCCUAAGCCGGCCAACACGUAUUUAUAGACCCCUCAACAAAAAAGAGUCGUUGGCUCUUUUCACUGGGCAAAACACGGGGUCACCGGACGCUCAAUUCCUGCGUCCGGUGCUCCAAUGUCAGCCACGUGUCGCCUUUUGAAACGCUCGUGUCAGAGUCUAACGGUCACCUGUAGUGCACCGGACGCUGAGCAAGCGCGUCCGGUGCACACCCGUCUAAAACACAGAGAGGUCUGCAAACGCGCGAGGUCACCGGACUUUGAGCACCGGACGCUCCAGCCUACGUCCGGUGCUCACCGGACUUAAACCCAGGGAGCACUGCAAAACGCGCGGACAUCGGACUCAGAACACCGGACGCUCCAGCCUGCGUCCAGUGUCUGGUGUCUGGUGCCUUACCCUAGCUGAGCCAGGCACUGACUGCACCGGACGCUCAGACUUCUCUAAAUUUCCCACUGGCGUAAUAGAAAAUAUGCACUUCAUUUUCUCGAAAAGCGCCGAAUCUCGCCUCGCAAGCUCGGCAAGAGGGAGAGAGAAACCCACCCUCUCUCUACCCUUCAAACUCCACCUCCUUCUCAAAGUGUGCCAACACCACAACAUGUGUACCAACAAGUGCACGUGUGUUAGCAUUUUCACAAUCAUUUUCUUUGAAGGAGUUAAGUUAGCUCACUAGGUUCUAAAUGCAUGCACAUGAACAAUGACACCUAGUGGCACUCGAUAACCGCUUAGCCAAAGAAUUCCCCUCUUUAUAGUAUGGCUAUCGAUCCUAAAUGUGAUCACACCCUCUAUGGUGUCUUGAUCACCAAAACCAAAACCCUAAGCAAUACCUUUGCCUUGAUCUCCAUAGGGUUUUGUUUUUCUCUUUCUUCUUUUCCAAGUUGAGCACCUGAUCAUCUUGUGGUCAUCACCAUCAUCACCAUGAUCAUCUUUUGCUCCAUUACUUGGCAUGUACCAACCUCAUUAAGUCUACACAUACUUAGCAUAGAGGUCAGUACUAGGGUUUCAUCAAUUAUCCAAAACCAAACUAGGGCUUUCAACUGUGCCCUCUGUUUUUCUUAUUGGUUUUUUGAUGUUUUAUUCCCAAUGAGACAAUUGAAACUCUUUUGUAGCCCUACUUCCGGUGCUUUUUCUUCCAAUGGAUCGACGGGCUGGAGAAGUUUGACCCAAGAAUUCUGCUUUUCUACCCCAGCGUUGAUCAUUGCAAACGUGAGUUGUUUACUCGCUGGGUUCCGCCCCCCUAACCCUCCUCCUAUGACGGAGGAAGAGAAGGUCGUUGCCUCUGCACGACGGCUCGAGGAUCCUCCAAACUGUCAUUGCGGAGAACAAGCCGUGGUAAAUCCACGAAAUGAACAAGAGUUCAUUUGUCCUCUGCGGCGUGAAGUAAGUUUUGAGUUAACCUUCAAAUGUCACUUUGUAUAUGUGUGUUCUAAUGUGUUGUUUUUGUAGGAUCAUGAUUUUCCAAAGUGUCAUUUCGCGGAGUGGGUCUAUGGUCCAAAGAGCCAUUGGCCAGAGCCUGAGAAGGAGGAGAAGGUGCCAGAGUGGAAGAAGAAGAGGAGGUCUAUUGCGCCUCCCGUGAUGUGCAAAUGUGGUGUUGAAGCUAGCUACGGCCUAGUCCCUUCAGGUCUUGGUAUUGGCCACUUCUGUGGCCACAUGAUUGACUAUGAUGAGAUUUGCUAGGACUGUGGAUAUUUAGUACUAAUGUAUUCAUAUAUUUGUUUUUGUACACUAACUUUGUAUUCAUAUAUUUCCUGUAAUAGAGCACUCAAAAAUGCAAAUGGGAAUCAUCUGAUGAUGUGUUUAAGUUCAAGGAUGAGUAUAAGACAAGAGUAGCAGUUCGCAAGAUGAGAGGUUAUCCUGCUAACUAGGUCACUGAUUUUGUGAAGGACCAUAAGAAGAAAAUGCUUGCAUGGGCCCAGGAGUUGCGUGUUCAUAACCCUGCGAGUAUUGCAUGGAAGAAGUGGUCCGAGGAGAGGGAAAAGGAGGUAUAGGAGUACCAGGCAAGGAAGGAUGGAGAGGAUGCAAGGAAGGCUGCGGAGGAGGCUGAGAGAGGUGAGAUGCAAGGCUUGAAUGAUACUAUUGCCUCAUUAUGUGCAAGUGAGUCAUUACGUUUUUGAAAGUCAAACUUUUUGUUUCUCUUGAACGAACAUCUUGUUAAUUCUUUGAAUUUUGUACUUACAUAGAUUGGAUGCACCGGGAACUGGCAAACAGAUGUGGGUCGUGCUAAGUACACGGAGAAUAGGAUAUUAGGGUGGGACGCUGGAGUUGGUGGCACCGCUAGCCGUCCGAUUGUGGUCGAACCGAGCUAGUGGAAGACGAUGACACCGGGGGGAUAGGCGAGCUCAUUCGUCUUGCCGAGGAUUUGGGCUACCCUCAGGUCUGGAUAAGGCACGUAGUCCUCACCAUAAUAUGGAGGCCACUGCGACUCAUCAAGGUACGGCUCGAAGCUCUUCUCUGAAACAUUUAGGGUGUUCGCAUGGAGAUACAAGGCUGACAUGUAUGGUUCAACUGUAUGGUCAAAACCUCUAAGCCGACAAGACAUAAUCAUGUGUGAGCAAGGGGCAUGCAUGAUCUGAGGGACGUUGCAACUGCAUUCUACUUUUUCAAGAUCCACACGGUACGUUCGCCCACCAAAUCGUUCGCCCCCAAGGUUUGUGCCCCCUCUAGCUCGUAGGCUAAAAACAAGCCUAUCUCGUCCAUAGGCCUCGUCAACCUGUUACUUGGACAACUCCUCAGCCUCCUGCAAAUAUUCAUGUGCAGCCUUCCCCCAUCUUUCAAGCUCCUCUUCAUUCCUCAGGGCUAGACCAUACCGCGUAACAAAAUAUUCAUUGCACUUCUUACAAGAGAACUCAACAAUACCGGACACUGGUAGAGAGCGAACGUCUUUGAACACACGAUUGAAAGACUUAGAGGAGUUUGUUGUCAUGAUGCCAUACCGAAAGCCACCCUCAUCAUAUGCUAAUGCCCACUUGGCUUUAUUUUCCAUCUGCUGAUCUAACCAUGCCUUGCCCGCUCGGUUCAGCAUCUUCUGUAGUUCCACCAUUGUCUCCUUAAACUCGUGUUCCGUACGUUUAUUACAAAGCUCCUUUAACUUGUCUGCCACCUCCUUCUUCCGUUGACAACGCCAGAAAUUUGCAGCAAAAUGCCUCAUGCACCAACAGUGCACUAGGGGUGGGUGCCCAUCAAUGUGUUCACCGGCAGCAUUAAGAAUUUCAAUGUGAUGAUCUGAAAUUAAACAAAUGGUGCGAGAAGGCCCAAGCACAUGAACACGGAGCAGACGCAUGAACCAUGACCGUGAAUCAUUGUUCUCCCCCUCGGCCAAAGCAAAAGCCAGUGGCACAAUCUGGUUCUCUGGGUCUACAGCAGCAGCCAUCAUCAAUGUGCCCCUGUACUUGCCGGUGAGGAAUGUGACAUCAACAAUAACAACUGGCCAACAAUACUAAAAUGCAUGCUUGCACUGAUCAAAAUACCAGAACACACGGUAUAGAAUAUGCCUCAACGAGUUCUAAAGAUACAACCCUCCUAUGUAUAUGAACGAUCUCAUGCCAGGGUUGAAGUGUUGCAUUGCACACAAAAUGCGUGGAACCCUAUUAUAGGCUUCCUCCCAACUACCCCAGCGAAUUGCCAGGGCAAUUUGCUUUGCCCGCCAAGCCUUUCCAUAAGUGACCUCAUACCCAACAAAAGUGACUAUGGUCUCUUGCAAGAAAGACAUCGAUACGUCGUUGCCCUUAUCUACAAGACCCAAUAUACUGCGAGCAAGAUACCAAGCCGUCAACUGGGGAUGGUACCGUUUGCCCUUGUUAGUCUGGCAUCUCUGGGGCUGCUCCACUGAAGUUACCUUCCACUUCCCAUCACUCGACCGUUUCCGUCCAUUCAAUUUCCACGAGCACGGGAACCCUGCCUUGCAUACUAUGUGGAAUUUUACAUCCUUGUCGGAAUGCCGAACCGUGUAGAGCCUAUGAUACACAGCAUAGUCCUGAAGGAACAACUUCAUCUCAGACAUCGUAUUGAAAAGCAUUCCCUUCCUGAGUAUUAAAUUUUGAUGGUUGUACAAUGAUUCCUUACAUAUCUGCAAACCCGUGUCACAAACCGCCAUAUGCGACAUGCUGACAUCCAUAUAAUUUGGAACACCGGUAAAGGGCAAGCCAGCCUCACUCAGCUGUGUAAGCUCUACUGAUGUAUAAGAGGGUUGUGCAACGUAAGGUUCCGCCUCCCUAACCCGGCCCCAUCCUUCAUAUUCCUCUCCAUCACCUAGAUACCCUGUGGCUAAAGUGUCGUGAGUCUGCAUGGCAUGAGGUACCUCAAGUGGCACUUCUGAGGGCAUGCCACAAACCGGUGUACACAUGCAGGUGGACCUCCUUCCUCAUUUUUUGAUUCGUCAGAAUCAGAGCUAACAUCAGCACCAAUCAUUUCAUCCUCUGCCGCCUCAUUCUCCUCCUAUUUAAACUCGUCUAUAUCAAAAUCAUUGCUUAUAUGACCAACUGGAGGAGAAUGAACCCGCUCCUGCGUCCAAUUACCGUCCAAGUCCAUACUCUCUAUAGUUUGUUGAACCUGCACACCACAAUCUCCUUGAGUACCACCGUCGAAGAACGACUCCUCAUUCUCAACAUGCUCCAACACCAACUCAGCCAUGCCGGCAUUCGAACCACUCAGCUUGGUUGCACAAGUCCAUCAUCACAUAGUGUGCCCUAUUCUUUCCAACGUCAAACCUACCCUUAAGUGUGAAAGCAUCGCCAAACUUCAAACUCAAACGGUCACAUAGAGCGCUGAAACUAGGGGGGCCAUCAAACCAUUCUAAUUCCUCAUACAUAUCCUCAGACUGACAAUCCUCUCUCCUAACACUUCCUCCGUAAAAAACUCUUACACCAUAAUCCCUCUACAAAACGACAUCAACUAAUCAAUAUGGUAGUAACAAAUACUAAAUAACUAACUAAGUACAACACUAACUAAUUAAAGUUAUUACCUAUUUCUGACAAAACCAACUAACUUACUAACUAAAUUACUAAAUAACUCUAAUAAUAUUAAAUAAUAAUAGUAAUAACUAAUUACUACAUAACUAACUCUAAUAAUAAUAUUUAAAAAUAAUAACUUAAAAAUAAAUACUAAAUAACUCUAAUAAUAUUAAAUAAUAAUAGUAAUUAAUAACUAAUUACUACAUAACUAAUAACUAAACAAAGUUUAACUAAUAAAAAUAACUAAUAAAAACUGUUAAAAAAUAGCUAAUAAUAAGAGUUUAAAUAAAAAAAUAUACCUUCACCACAAACGCCGGCCGGCUGGGGCACGGCGCGACCUACGGGCGCGCAGGCGACGGCGCGGGCGGCGGUGCGGCGUGCGAGGGGGUGGGGCGGCGUGCGCGGGGGCGAGGGGGUCGGAGCGCGGUCUAGUCGGAUGCGUGAGGAGGAGGGAAGAGAAAGGAGACUGCGCAUUUUUGUCACGGGGCGAACCCCGCCGUGAUGGGUGGCGGGGUACGCCCCCUGCCGCGCCAGCCAGGCGCCACGUGGCGGCCCUACCCCGCCGCCAUGCAUGGCGGGGUGCAGUGCAUUUGCCCGCCAUACAUGGUGGCGGGUCCAAACGGGUUAGUUUUAAAAAAAAUUCAAAAUAAGAUCAAAUUUGUAUUUUGUUUCAAAUUUGGGCUAAAAAUAAAAAAAAUCACGGAUGACGCUCGAGCGGAUCUAUCUUUUGAAUGGUAAUUUAAAUAGAGUACAAGAAUAUUUCAAAAGUACUUUAAAAUAGUCUUUAAACGGUUUUCAAAGUAUUGUUUAAAAAGGGUUUUACAAAUGUGUUUGAAAAUCAAGUAUUUCAAAUAUAUUCUCAUAGUUCGUAUUUUUAAAGUUCAAAAAGUUUAACAGAUCAUAUAAUUUGAACCUAGUUUAAAAUUGUGUUUGAAGAAUUAUAAAAUCCUCCUUUUUAUCUGCGGCAAAUUUCAGCCUAGAACUCAUCUUCUAUUUUUUUUGUUCUUUACUUUUAUAUAUAACUAGCCGGGAUCGCCGUGUAGUUGCACGGGGUACCAACCUGUUGGUGCAAAAGCUGAUCUGCAAACACAAAGGGCUAAUACCCGAUUCAAACGUUAAGGCGUGCCAGCCCAUUUGACCGUACUAUCGGCAAAGGUGGUAACUCGAACACUUUGGUCCCGACAACAGCGAUGCGCUCGGAUGUCACGGCCAAGAGGUAUUCACAUGGAACUUGAGAACACGCCGAGCUUAAGUCGAUGAAUUCCUAAAAACUCGUAAUGAAAAGGAAAAAGUAUGACAAAGUCGUCGAAAAAGUAGAUGCUGUAAUAUGAGUAAAAAUUUGUGUUUGAUUGAUUGAUAGAUAUCUCAUUACAAGGCGCUAGGGUCUACAUUUAUACCCUGCUCAAAGAGCUACAACCAGACACGACUAGAACUCGAAUUCCAAAUUACACAGAACCUGUAUACAAAACGAUUUAAACAACUAAGGAAAACAUAAAGCUAUCCCCCCUGACAAACUGGAGCUCCUCCACAAACCGAUCGGCAACUUCCAGACUCUUCCCCCAUGUCAUCGGCAGACUCCCUUGUCGUAGCCAUCGGUACAGACACGUCGUCACCUGUGGACUUAGUCAUGUUCAACCAUCCUUCCAUCGGCAACCACUUCCAUCGGCAACUCUCCCUGUAGAUCAAGCACCACCAUCUCAUCUUGCCGAUCCACACUUUACCGAUCAUGGACACGUGCCCAAAAACGGUGUUAACACAUGCCCCCCAAUUUCAGAGUAUGAGAUCAUUAAUGCUCCGAAAUUUUCUGCAGUAACGAUGCCUUUUCCGCAAUUAAUGCUCCUAAUCUGGUAACCGACAGCCUCAAUCCGAACAACUCCGAUCCUAUUAUUCUCCAGAUUCCUCGAAAUCCUCAACUUCCCCAAACGGACAUUUCCGCUUUAGUCGCACAUCGGCAAUAUGACCGUUACAGAGACUUGCCGAUGGACGUCCAUAUCUUAUCAUUCCAAACGGCUAUCUCCACAUUACUCUCCCAUCGGCAAUAUGACCGUUACCAGGCGCUGCCGAUGGACCGACCAGGAGAUCCCGCACAGUAAAAUAUCUCUGGAUAACGACCGCUUCCCGUCAAAUCACCUGCACAAUCCCUUGAUUACCGUGCGAACAGUUACCAUAUCUACCCGAGCACCCUCGGAUUUCACAGAUACGGCAAAGAGAUAAGUCAAUUUUGCCCUUGCCCGUUUUGUCCUAUAAAUAGUUCCUUCUCGGGUACUCCUUCUCCAUCACAUCAUUCCACACCUCGGACUUUUCUCUCCCGGCGGCGGCGCUGUUCAAGAGCCCCAAGAUCGCUGCCGAAGUCCUCCUCCACCAACUCCGAAGCUCUCGAUCAUCCUCCCCGUGACAAGAUGGCCGUCAACUUCGUCAUCCCUGAGGUCAGUUCUUCACUCCAUCCUUCGUACCUUUUUCACACCCCUGUUCAUCCACAAUCCAUUUUACUGAAUAUUUUCUUUCUCUUUCUUUGUUUCCCCCUUUUUCCUCCAAAAUCACUAGGAAUUGUCUAACAAAAUUGUCAUCCCCACCGAUCAACCACACCUCCAAUGCCUUGGCCCGUUAGGGGAUUCAGAUCCAACCGACCUCAUUAACGCAGAAACCAAUAGGAUUCCUUUUAGAGCCGAGAACUUUUCUUUGGAUCUGUGGAAGGAUACUUUCCGUUCCUGGCCCAACCCUAUUGUGGGAUGGACGGAUUGGUUUCUUAGGGUCAGCAAUUCAAACGAAGUCCAGUGGGGUGAGAGAAAGCUAGACCAAUGCAUUAGAUUGUCCAUCGCUGAUAUGCACAGGAAUGAAUCACUGCUGAUAGCUGCAUCAUAUUUCUGGUCAGACACGCUCAACGCCUUUAUUUUUGGCCACGGCCCUGCUUCCCCUACUCUUGCCGAUGUGGCUAUGCUUACCGGCCUAGAUGUAUCUUCUGCCGAUAGCACCCAUUUUUUCGACACCAAGCCCAGUGCCAAAGUAGAAACCCGUUCCAUCGGCGGCUGGUCAGGGUAUAUUCAGAAAUAUAAACGAACAGGCCCUGUCAACAUAAAAGAGCAGACCUGCUUCCUGAACAUGUGGCUAGAUAAGUUCGUGUUUUGCGGGCGAUCGGCAGGACCAACCUCGGUCCACUUAGCGGCAGCUGAAAAUCUGGCCAAUGGUGGCCGAUUUCCCCUCGACCGAUACCUGCUUGGUGUAGCCUACCACCUCCUUCACCAAGUGACUAGGAAACUCUUGCUCGGCCAGUCUAUCAGCAACUUGUGAGGCCCCUGGUGGUUCAUCCACAUGUGGCUCAAUCUUCAUCUGCACAAGUGCCUUGAGUUUGACCUGUUCGCACAGCGUUUUUCAAGGGACAUAGCCGAGAACCAUGUGCUGGACGAGGAAGAAUCGGCAACACGCUCUCCCUUGAACUUCGGUGAAGCUGUCAUAGUUCUGCCUGGUACAGGGGGUAAUCCAGAUCAGGUCAGCCGAUUCUUCCAAACCUUGUAUGAAGGUUUGGCCAGAGAUGAGCGAGCGUGGUUGGCCUACGAUGACCCAGACAAUAUGCUUCCCCUGGUUUUCAACCCGUUCAAUGAUGCCCUUGGCAAGGACAACGAAGUGAUGAUGGCAUUGGUGACUCCUAGAGCCAUACCGGUGAACUUCUUUAGUAGUGAGAAAACCUCCCCCCAGACUUAUGAGUUCUACAAUCCAUCGGCACUAGCUCGUCUGUUAGCUUUCGACCAGCUGCCGAUUGCACUCUGCUAUGCCGAUGUAAUAAAGCCCAGGGAAACCAUCACCAGCCUCCUGGAAUGGAUUCGAGUAGCCCAACUGCCAUCGGGUGCCGAUACAGACGUAGACUUGUCGGAGUGGGUUCCAGCCGCCUUCAUCACUCAGGCGUACAAGCAGUGGUGGGCAGAAUGGAAGGAGCAUCUAUUCUGCAAAUCGGCCCUCACGUACCGCGGUAUGAUCGACCCCGAGUACAAAGUCCCCGAUGAUACUGUAAGUGUCUUCAAACCGAUGUUCCAAUUCUUCCAAUUUCAUUUCCAUCACUGAUUUACUUUUGUAUCAUUUUGCAGGUCGAUAACACCCCUCCAUCGGUCAGUAGAAGUGGCAAGCCGAUUGAUCUGUUUGCAUCAGGUCCAAUUUCUUCAAUCGGCCACAACGCCCCUACCCUGGCUGCCAUCGUGCAUCGAGGUAUACGCCUCAAGAAAGUUACCACCAGGAGAACUCAGACAUCACCAUCGGUAGCUGCUUCCACUCUAGCACAGGCUUUUAAGGUAACUGUCAAACCUCAUCAUUCAUACCGAUCUUACUUUUACAUCGGCUGCAUUUGUACUCACAAAUUCUUUUUUCUGUAACAGCAAACCAGUGCAUCGGCAAGAACCAAGAGCCAAGGUGCCGAUGCCCCCCAGUCCAGCCAGCAAAAGAGAAAGGGUGCCAAGAGUACCAGGGCACAAACGAAGUGCCAGAAAGUGGCAACUCCCCCUCCUCCUCCUCCGGUAUCUCCCAUUCCGGUGGAAUCCUCUCCUUCUCCUCCAGAAACAGAUACUCAGCAAGCACCAUCUCCCCCUCCAAUGCAAGAAGCACCACAGGUGGAAGAACCUCAACUGGAAGAACCUCAACAGGAAGUACUUCAGCCAGAAGACACAUCGACUGAUGUUCAUGAACCAACUGCCGAUCCAGCAGGUUCCAUUAUAGCAUCGGUGGUUUCUUCCAUUCAGACAAGCACUGCCCUUCCUCAAGGUAACACAUUUACAAAGUUAGCGCCGAUGAACCUAUUUUUCCCAUCUUAUAACCACUUGUAUCAAUCUUCAGCUGAUGUAGUUCCAUCGGCAACUCUGGCCGAUCAACCCGUGGCUCCAUCGGCAUCUUCCAGUAAGCCAUCCAACCUCUAUUAAUAUUAUUUGCUGAUGCUCUGACCAUAGAAUGACUCACUUUGUUUCCUUUCCAGGAGCAGGAUUCCCCCGACAGCCUAUUCUCCUUUGCCAUUGAUAUCUCCGAAGAUGAGGGUGAGGAAGCAAGUUCCUCCCGGGCAGUUGGGAUCGCAUCGGCAGAGAUUAGGGCCAAGCUAGAAGAACUGUCGGCUCUCCUCUAUCAAGACACGGCUCAAUUGGUCGAUGACUCUGACCCGGCCAAGGUUCUGUUCAAGACCCUCAGAGGCCAGAUCGUUGCCGAUGCCGAAGAAACCCUCUUCCAAGCCGCACAUCUGGAGAGUCGUCACCUGCAGUACCAGAGGGCCGCCCGGCGCCUUGCCGAUAGAGCCGCUCAGACCCGGCUUUCUGAAGAAAUGAUGAGAGAGAAGCUCCUGACCGAUGAGAAGCACAAGAACAUCGGUACCUUGAAGUCUUCAGGAAACGCACUGAAGCAAAAGAUCUUCGACCUAUCGGCAAAACGAGAAGCCCUGCUGGCAGAGCUCAAGCAGGUGGAGGAUGCCUUAUCCCAAGCCCAACAGGAAGAGAGUCAACUGCCAGAGACCAUCAAACUCCUUGAACAAGAACGAAACGCCCAUGGUCGCAAAGCUUUGCAGUUGAAGAAGAAGCUGAAGCCGAUAGAAGGUUCUGCCGACGACAAGUCAAAGAGAUAGAAGCAGCCAACCAAAUCCGGCUGCGCGCCAUAUCGGCGAUCCAGGCACUGCUAAGCAUGUGAGUUCUUCAUCGGCAACACACCUACCUCUCCCUGCUCUUCAACUUUCUUGAUGUUUAGUCUAGCCGAUAGGACUGUUAUCGGCAACUUUUGAUACAUUAAGUCCGGCCCCAGAUACAUUUUAAUCCAGCCGAUAGGAGUGUUAUCGGCAUUUAAAUUUCAUGCAUCGACCCGUAUGCUGGGGUAGUACUUCUUCAAAUAUUUGCCAUUUAAUGCUCUGGGAAAUUCAACUCCUUCGAGAGUUUCUAAAAUGUAGGCGUUACCAGGGGCCGAUCGACUUAUCCGAUAGGGACCCUCCCAAUUAGGAGACCAUUUUCCAAACUUCGAACUUUUAGUCCCGAUCGGUAAAAUCAAUUUCCAUACCAAGUCUCCAUUGACAAACUCCUUAGCCUUCACUUUCUUAUCGUACCAUCUGGCAACCCUUUUCUUAUUCUCUUCUAUACUCAUCAAAGCCCUUAGCCGAUGCCCUGCUAGAUCAUCCAACUCAUCUGUCAUCAAAGUAGCAUAAUCAUCGGCAGCCAACUGAUCUUGAAAAGACAGUCACCUAGAUCCAGCCUUAAUUUCCCAAGGCAACACUGCAUCAUGUCCAUACACCAACUGAUAAGGCGAAACCUUAGUUGACCCAUGACAAGCCAUCCGAUAGGACCAUAAGGCUUCAUUUAACAAUGUGUGCCACCUUCUAGGAUUUUCUUCAAUCUUCCGUUUAAUAAGCUUAAUGAUUCCUUUGUUAGACGCCUCGGCCUGCCCAUUAGCCUGAGCAUAGUAAGGAGAGGAAUUUAACACUUUAAUCCCCAUACCGAUUGCGAAUUCAUCAAAUUCUCCUGAUGUGAACAUAGUACCCUGAUCGGUAGUAAUUGUUUGAGGAAUCCCAAAUCGGUAAAUAAUAUGCUCCUUCACAAAAUCAAUCAUAUCGGCCGAUGUGACUUUCUUCAAAGGAAUAGCUUCAACCCAUUUAGUGAAAUAAUCAGUGGCAACUAGAAUAAACUUAUGCCCUUUGCUAGAUGGCGGAUAAAUUUGACCGAUCAAAUCAAUAGCCCAUCCCCGGAACGGCUAAGGUUUGAUAAUGGGAUUCAUGGCCGAUGUGGGUGCUCUUUGAAUAUUGCCAAACUUUUGACAUCCUUGACACCCUUUGAAAUAUUUAAAGCAAUCUUCAAGUAUGGUCGGCCAGUAAUAUCCAUUCCUCCUAAUCAUCCACUUCAUCUUGAAAGCCGACUGAUGUGCUCCACAUACCCCUUCAUGGAUUUCUCCCAUCAAACUUCUAGCUUCAUCAUCACCCAAGCAUCGGAGAAGAAUCCCAUCAAUAGUUCGGUAGUACAAUUCAUCUUCGAGGAGCACAUACUUGGUGGCUUGAAACCGAACUCGCCUCUCGACUUUCUUGGAUGGAUCUUUCAAAUAAUCAACGAUUUCUUUUCUCCAAUCAUCGGCACCAAUUGCCGAUAUUGCGUCAAUCAUAGGCUGAUAUCCCGAGGCAUGCUGAGCCAACCGAUUGGCCUCUUCAUUAUGCAAUCGAGGAACAUACUCUAAUCGGAAAUCCUUGAAUUCCUUCAAUAAUUGCAUACUCCGUUCGUAAUAAGUUAUGAGACCUUCACUUCGGCAUUCAUAGCUUCCAGCUAAUUGAUUUAUAACCAACAUAGAAUCCCCGAAGACCUCAACAGCAUCAGCAUGAACUUCUCUCAACAACUCUAAUCCCCUUAUUAAGGCUUGAUAUUCAGCCUGAUUAUUCGUUGAUGUGGCAACAAUCGGCAAGGAAAACUCAUACUUCCUUCCCAGAGGGGAAACUAAUACUAUCCCGAUUCCUGCCCCCUGGUCACAUGUGGAUCCAUCAAAGAAGAGCGUCCAAGGCAUAAUUUCCAAAGCCUCCACUGUACCGCAAUGUUGAGUUACAAAAUCGGCCAUGAUCUGCCCUUUAACUGCCUUAGCCGAUUCAUAAUGCAGAUCGAACUCCGACAGCGCCAAAAUCCAUUUACCGAUCCUGCCACUCAUAAUCGGCAUGGAUAGCAUAUACCGGACCACAUCAUCUUUGCAAAUAACGGUGCAUUCGGCCGAUAACAAGUAGUGCCUUAACUUGAUACAAGAGAAAUAUAGGCACAAGCACAGUUUCUCAAUAGCCGAAUACCUGGCCUCAGCAUCAAUCAACCUCCUGCUUAAAUAAUAAAUUACACGCUCCUUCCAUUCAAACUCUUGAAUUAAAGCCGAACCGAUGACCAUCUCAUCGGUAGACACAUACAAUCUGAAGGGCUUCCCUUGCUGAGGUGGAAUUAGAACUGGAGGAUUUAUUAAAUAAUUCUUGAUUUCAUCCAGAGCCAACUGCUGUUCCUUCCCCAAACAAACUCUUGAUCGGCCUUUAACUUAAGAAGAGGGCUGAAAGCACGAAUUUUGCCAGACAAGUUAGAUAUAAACCUUCUGAUAAAAUUUACCUUGCCGAUCAAGGAUUGGAGCUCGGUCUUGUUGGUAGGGGCUACUAUCUUAUUGAUGGCAUCAAUAGAUCUUCGACUGAUUUCAAUUCCCCUCUGGUGCACCAUGAAACCAAGAAAUUGCCCCACCGAUACACCAAAUGCACACUUAUUGGGAUUCAUUUUCAAACCAUGCUUCCUUGUGUAUUCUAACACCUUUCGUAAAUCGGCAAGAUGCUUUGCGAAGUCUCCAGACUUAACCACCACAUCAUCAAUAUAAAUCUCCACCAGCUUGCCGAUGAACUCAUGAAAUAUAAAAUUCAUAGCCCUUUGAUAAGUAGCACCAGCGUUCUUCAAGCCAAAGGUCAUAACUAUCCAUUCAAACAACCCAACAUGACCAGAGCACCUGAACGCAGUCUUUGGAAUAUCUUCUUCAGCCAUGAAUAUUUGAUUGUAUCCUGCAUUGCCAUCCAUAAAGCUAAUAAUCCGAUGCCCGGCCGCAGCGUCGACUAGCAGAUCGGCAACUGGCAUUGGGUAUCCAUCCAUCGGUGUAGCCUUAUUAAGAUUCCUGAAAUCAAUGCAGACCCGACGCUUCCCGUUCUUUUUGUAGAUCGGAACAACGUUGGAAAUCCAUUCGGCAUACCGACACUGCCGAAUAAACUUGGCUUCAAUAAGUUUGGUUAUCUUGGCCUUGAUGUCAGGAAGAAUAUCAGGAUUACAUCAGCGAGCUGGCUGCUGAUGAGGCCGAAAUCCAGAUUUGAUGGGUAGCCGAUGUUCAACAAUCGAUCGGUCCAAACCAGGCAUCUCAGUAUAAUCCCAAGCAAAGCAAUCUUUAUAUUCCUUUAACAAAUCAGUCAACUAUUGCUUACACUCAGAAUCUAACUUAGCACUAAUAAAAGUGGGUCUAGGCUUAUCACCACUACCUAUAUCUACUUCUACUAGAUCAUCGGCCGAUGUGAAUCCCUGGCCUAAUUUUCCAUCAUCGGCGAACCUAUCCAUUAAAAACCUUCAUCAGAACCGACUGCUUGGAUCGGUGGAAUCUCGUAAUCGGCAACCUUGAGAAAAUCCUUUUCCCAAACUUCUCCCGAAAUACACCUAGUCCUUUCAUAGGUGUCCGCCUCUGCCGAUGCGAUGACAUAAGAAGAAUCUCCUGGGACAAUUUCAAUCUUGUCACCUACCCAUUGAACCAAGCAUUGGUGCAUUGUAGACGGGAUACAACAAUUAGCAUGAAUCCAAUCCGUUCCCAACAACAGGUUGUAAGCACCCUUUCCACUGAUCAUGAAGAAGGUUGUCGGCAAGGUUUUGCUGCCGAUGGUCAACUCUACACAUAUUGCCCCCUUGACCGGAGACACAUUCCCUUCAAAGUCUUUGAGCAUCAUAUCGGUCUUGGUCAAAUCCUGAUCCCCUUUCCCAAGCUUCCGAUACACUGCAUACGGCAUGAUAUUGAUAGCAGCCCCACCAUCAAUUAGAAUCUUGGUCAUCGGCUGCCCAUCAACCCUUCCUUUGACAAACAGAGCCUUGAGAUGUUGCCUUUCAUCAUCGGCAGGUUUCUCGAAGAUAGCUGUCAUCGGAUCCAGAGCCAAUUGAGCUAUUUGGUCGGAGAAUUCUAACUCAUCAUCACUGGAUGGCGCAAGGAACUCCAUCGGCAACAUAAAGACCAUGUUGACAUCUGCCGAUGGACCUUCCCCCUUGGGAUCUGAUUGCUGCUGAUCCCCAGACUGGCCAGAGUCCUCGCCCUUGCUUAACCCUUCUCGCCUUUCGCGCUGCAGCCUCCUUUUCUGUGUCCUGGUCAACCCCUCUGGACACCAUGGAGGAAGCUGCUGCUGCCUUGCUGUUGGGCGACGAUUUUCCCUCGACUCCAUCUGAUGCGUAUUGGCAUCCCUGUAAAAUAUGAACUAAUCGGGAACCCGUGCAUUAGCCAUUUCUUCGAGUUCUUCCAGGUUCCUGGGAAAAUAUUGAACACGAUCACCAAGCCUGUCGUGCACGCUGAGCCUGCCCCCCAGCCGGUCGUGAACAGACACUCUUCCUCUGAUCGGCCCAUCACAUCGCCGAUUGUCGUCGUGAUAGCGCCGAUCGGAUCUAUCAUACCGAUCAUAACCGUUGCACUCAGGGCAAUCUCUGACAGUAGGAAGCUUGAUAUUCUCUUCCCAGCAAUGAAUGAAGAACGGGCAAUUCCAGUGAUCCCUGUGCCGAUUCCAUUCUUGCCGGCGUCUUUCCUCUUCCCGACGAUAAUCCUCUUGCUGGCGCCGGUACCGAUCUUCACGUUGCUGCCAAUUCUCCCGAGGCCUUCUGUGGGUUAUAACGAUGCUAGAUCGGGGAGGCCUCCCUGAGCUGGUUCCUUCCUGGACCAAGCCUCUUCCUCUCGCAUCGGCAGUAGUGUCCUGAUGCUGAGGAUCCCCCGAUGCACUUCUUUCGGCUGCUUCCGAUGUUAAGACCUUGGCCUUUCCCUUACCAUCCAACAUGUUCGUUGGGAAAGGAUGUUGAUCGAUCUUCAUCGGCUUCUGGGUCUUGGAACUGUCAAAUUUGAUUCUCCCAGACUCUAUAGCCGAUUGCAGCUGCUGUCUGAAAACCUUGCAUUCAUUGGUGUCGUGAGAAGUUGCAUUGUGCCACUUGCAAUAUUUCAUCCUCUUUAACUCCUCAGCCGAUGGGAUCAUGUGAUUAGGAGACAGCUUAACCUGACCUUCCUGAAGUAGAAAGUCAAAUAUCCUAUUGGCCUUAGCGGUGUCAAACACAAACUUCUCUGGUUCUUUAUGUCCAAAAGGACAAGACAUCGGCUUCUUAUUCUUCACCCAUUCUACCAAGCCGAUGACUGGCUCCUCAUCAGAAUCUAAGCUUGUUGCUUCAUCAACGAACGAUACCUUUUUGUUCCAUGCUCUCUCUUGGGCUCAAAAGGCUUGAUAUCUUGAUCAGAAAUUCUCUGCACCAAAUGACUUAAGCUUUCAAACUCCUGAGAGGCGUACUUGUCCCUUAUGUGUGGCAACAAACCCUGGAAAGCCAAAUCGGCUAGCUGCCGAUCAUCCAGAACCAGACUAUAGCAUUUAUUCUUGACUUCCCGUAUCCUCUGCACAAAACUUUCAACCGAUUCAUCAUUGCGUUGCCUCAACUUGACCAAAUCGGUGAUCUUCUUCUCAUGGACCCCAGAAAAGAAGUAUUUGUGGAAUUGUUUCUCCAGAUCGGCCCAAGUAAUCACUGAAUUGGGAGGCAGUGAUAUGAACCAAGUAAAAGCCGAUCCAGACAACGAUGACGAGAAUAAGCGAACCCUUAACUCGUCCCUAUUACCAGCUUCACCGCAUUGAAUGAUGAACCUGUUGACAUGCUCCAUGGUUGAUGUGUCAUCCUGCCUAGAAAACUUAGUAAAAUCCGGUACCUUGUACUGAUGUGGAAGCGGGAUCAAAUCAUAUGCGGGAGGAUACGGUGUCCGUUAAGAGUAAGUAUUGACUUUGGGCUUUAUCCCGAAUUGGUCUCUCAUUACUUCAGCAAUCUUAUCGGCCCAAUAGGCAUCGACAUCUUGCCGAUGAGGUGUUUGCGGAUCCGGCACCUGCUGGUAAGCUUCCACGUGUCUGUGUGGUGCAUGAUCUGCAUGAAACAUCGGGUUAACCAUUUGGCCCCCAAUCUGCGGACCACCAAGCUGUUGCCCACCAAUCUGUUGUCCGCCGACCUGUUGCCCAAGAUUCAUUGGCUGGUUGGGAAUCCCCUGAUUCUGGAACCCGGGAUAGAUCUGUCCUUGCUGGAACCCUGUAGCCUGACGAUUCGGUUGGGGCUGAAAGAGCAUCUAGGCCCCUAGUGGUUUCGGUGAUUAAUGACAUUGUUGAUUACUAUGACUAACGUGUGUUUUGCAGAGGCAAAGUCAUAGGUAAGGUCAUGGUAAAUAGGUACUCGAUGAACAGGGACGUACAUGCCUACUUAAUAGUGGAAAUCGUUUUUGGUUUUCAAAGGACGGAUGGACAUCGUCAAGACUAGACUAGGUCUAAGUGCCAUAUGGUGAAGAAGGGCACUUAGAGUAGUUCAGGACUUUGUUCUCCUUUGACCGUACUAUUAAGAGGGGCUUUGAUCUAGUAGCUUGACUUAGGCAAGGCUUUAGGUUUAGGUGUGGUGCACACUUGGUAAAACUAGCACUAGGCAGCUCAGAGAUAGUCCUUAGAUCGAGAGGAACCAACUUCGUUUUGGAGCGAUCGCGUUUCGACGAAGUUUGGGUGCCCAAAGGGGCACCGGACGCUCUGUGAGUGCGUCCGGUGAGGUCCUUAGCCGUUAGAACAGUGCCGUGCUUAGGGUUAGGCACCGGACGCUAGCACCGGACGCACCGGGUAGCGUCCGGUCCCUUACCCAGGAAGGUUGCAAGCCUUCCCUGAGCACCGGACGCUAGCACCGGACGCGCCGGGUAGCGUCAGGUCCCAUGCGCAGGGAGCAUGUAAAGUUUUCCCGAGCACCGGACGGUGCACCGGACGCUGAGAGUUAGCGUCCGGUGACCUGUCAGAGAAAAGUGCAGGUAGCCGUUAUGUCACACCGGACGCUCGGUGCAAUGCGUCCGGUGCAACAUAAUGUGCGUCCGGUGACCCCGGUUUCAGUGGAAAACGGUUGGCCGACCUUUGGACUUCGUGGAUAGUAUUUAUACUCCUCCACCUCGUCCAUAAGACCUCUCUUGCCCAUUUGAACAUCAGAGAAACUUGUUGUGGAGCAAGAGAGUUGCAAGAGCCUAGAGAGGAUUGAGUUUUGAGUGAAUUCUUGAGAGAAUCCUCCUCUAGUGAGUUCCAAGAGUCAAGUGUGCAUCCACCACUCUCUAGUGACUUGUUUGGGUCAAGUGAGAGUUCUUUGCUUGUUACUCUUGGUGAUCGCCAUCACCUAGACGGUUCGGUGGUGAUUGGAGGCACGAAGAUCACCCGGAGUUCUUGUGGGUGGCUUGUGUCAAGCUUGUGAGCGGUUUUGGGCGAUUCACCGCGACGGAGUGUCGAAGAAUCAGCCCGUAGAGAGCACUUGGUCCUUGCGCGGACCAAGGGGGAGCAAGACCCUUGCGCGGGUGCUCCAACGAGGACUAGUGGAGAGUGGCGACUCUCCGAUACCUCGGCAAAACAUCGCCGAGCACUUUCUUUCACUACUCCUUUACUUUCUAGCAUUUACUUUGUGCUUUUACAUUCUUAGAAUUGCCAUGCUAGAAUAGGAUUGGAACUAGGUUGCAAAACUUUUAUCCGGUAGCUUUCUAGGACACUCUAGGCCCAAGGGGUGGAAUUGGAGCUUAUAGGUUGCUUAAAUUUUAAGAGAAGCCCAAUUCACCCCCCCUCUUGGGCAUCUUGAUCCUUUCAAUUGGUAUCAAAGCCUAGUGCUCAUUAUUUAGGCUUCACCGCCUAGAGAAAGAUGUCUAACGGGGAUGGACCGCCACCCAUGUUCGAUGGGGAUGACUUCCCGUAUUGAAAAAUACGGAUGGAGUCAUACCUUGAGGCAUGCGAUGUAAAGUGCCUAAAAGCCGCGACCGAAGGGUUUGCCCCUCCGGAAAGAGCCACCGCUCUUACUCCACAAGAGCAAGAAAACGAGAAGUGGAAUGCAAAGGCCAAAAACCACAUUUUUAGAGGUCUUUGCAAAGAGGUGUUCAACCGUGUUCGGAGCCACAAAACCGCCAAUGAACUUUGGAAGGAACUUUGUGCGCUCCAUGAGAGAACUAAGAGUGAACGCGAGGAACGCUAUCACCUAGUGAUGAACAAGCUUAAUACAUUUGAAAUGCUUCCUAAAGAAAAUGCUAAUGAAAUGUAUUCUCGCUUGAAUGUCAUUGUAGAGGAGCUAAAUGGACUUGGGCUUACACAAAUGAGUACGGCGGAUGUAGCAAGGAAGAUACUAUGUGUGCUUCCCAUUGAGAAAUAUGGGCACAUAGUAACCGUGCUUCAUCAAGGCGAUCUUUCCACCGCUACACCAACCACCAUAUUGGGGAAGAUCAAUGCUCAUGAGAUGUACUUGCACAUGAACCCUCAAGAUGGCUCCUCGUCGGCCAAGAAAGAAAAGAAGGACUUGGCUCUCAAGGCUUCUCACAAGGGCAAGGCCAAGAAGAUCGAAGUUGAGUCAUCAACUUCAAGUGAUGAUGAUGCAUCCAUUGCCCUCUUGGUGAGAACAACCACCAAGAUGUUGAAGAAGCUCAACAAGAAUGGAGUCAACUUUGACUCCAAGAAGAAGAAGUUCUUCACAAGUAGCAAGAGGAAGCCCAUCUCCGAGAUGGAUUGCUACAAUUGUGGUGAGCUUGGUCAUCUUGCUCAUCAAUGUCCAAAGCCCAAGAAGGACAAGUACAAGAAGAAGAACAAAGAGCAAGAUUUCUCAAGUGAUGAUGAGAAAAAUGACAAGAAGCAAUACAAGAAGAAAGGUGGCAAGAAGAAGGAGCACUACAAGAAGAAGAAUGGCAAGGCUUAUAUUGUUGGUGAUUGGCUCACCGACAUUGAAAGCUCAAGUGGUGACUCCUCCGGCAAUGAAAGUGAUGAUGAGAAGGUUGCCACCAUCGCCAUCGAUGCUCCAUCACCAUCAUCUUCACCACCAUCUACAUCCUCUACACACCUAUGCCUUAUGGCCAAAGGUGACCGGAAGGUACAAAGUGAGGAUGAGAGUAGUGAAAGUGAUAGUGAAUAUGAAUCACCCUCUUAUGAUGAACUUGUAAAAUUGCUAAACAAAUACACAAAAGUCAUAAGAAAGACUAGAAGUGAAAAUGAAAAGCUUGAACUUGAAAAUGAUACACUUCUAGCAAAGCUUAACUCUAGUGAUGAGCUUAGAGAACAAAAUGACAAGAAGCAAUACAAGAAGAAAGGUGGCAAGAAGAAGGAGCACUACAAGAAGAAGAAUGGCAAGGCUUAUAUUGUUGGUGAUUGGCUCACCGACAUUGAAAGCUCAAGUGGUGACUCCUCCGGCAAUGAAAGUGAUGAUGAGAAGGUUGCCACCAUCGCCAUCGAUGCUCCAUCACCAUCAUCUUCACCACCAUCUACAUCCUCUACACACCUAUGCCUUAUGGCCAAAGGUGACCGGAAGGUACAAAGUGAGGAUGAGAGUAGUGAAAGUGAUAGUGAAUAUGAAUCACCCUCUUAUGAUGAACUUGUAAAAUUGCUAAACAAAUACACAAAAGUCAUAAGAAAGACUAGAAGUGAAAAUGAAAAGCUUGAACUUGAAAAUGAUACACUUCUAGCAAAGCUUAACUCUAGUGAUGAGCUUAGAGAACAAAAUGAGAUCAUGACCACUAAGCUCAAGGAGCUCAAACUCUCUCUAAAAGAGCUCAAAGAAAAACAUGAUAAACUUGAGAGUGUUCAUGAUGAGCUUAUCACUAGAUAUAGAGCAAUGAAAGAAGAACUAACAACUCUAAAAGCAAACUAUGACAACCUUGAGAUUGCUUAUGAACUUGCAAUUGAUGAAACACAUGUUGCUACUAACAAUGUUGCUAAGCUUGAUGUAGCCACAUCUUGUGAUGACUUACUUGUGGAGAGCACAAGCAAAUGUGUUGAUUGCAAGGGCAAAAAAGUGGUAGUGGUCGAGAGUUAUGAGGACACUAUCAAGCUCAAGAAUGAAAUUGUCAUGCUCAAGAAAGAGUUGCAAGAACAAGCCAUGCACAAGACCAAUGUGAUUGAGUCACUUGAUCAAGACAAGAAGCUUGCAUAUGAGAACAAGUUGCUCAAGGAAGAAAAUCAAUAUCUCAAGCUUGGUUUGAUGUAUGUCAAGCAAGAAGAAGAUGAGACAUUCAUCUUGGAUGAGUUAGCUAGCAACAAUGACCCAAUCAUCAAGAAGCUAACUCAAGAGAACAACAAGCUCAAGAAAGAGAAGGAACACCUAACCAUGGGGUUAGCAAAGUUCACAAAGGGGAAGGACCUUCAAAGUGAGCUUUUUAUGAACACCGUCAUGAAGAUGGACAAGAGUGGAAUUGGCUACAAGGCUCAUCAAACAAAGCUCAUCAAGUCUCUAGCCACUCAUGAUCAAGCAAGCAAGCCAAAGCCAAAAAGAUGUUUUGAGUGUGGUCAAGAAGGACACUUUGCUCAUGACUGUAAGGCACCACUACCACCACCCUUGCCCAAGCAUGCAAGACCAUUUGCCUUCAAUGCUCAUUACAUUGUAAGGAAAGACAAGUGUGGCAAGGUCAAGGUUAGCUUCAUGGGGCCACCAAACAAGCAAAGGCCAAAGAAGAUUUGGGUGCCAAAGCAACUAGUUGAGAAGGUCAAGGGCCCUAAGCAAAUGUGGGUCCCUAAAUCUCAAGCUUGAUCUCUUGUGUGUAGGUGAACUACAAGACCGGUGGAUCACAUUGGGUAAUUGAUAGUGGUUGCACUCAACAUAUGACCGGAGAUCCCCGGAUGUUCACCUCUCUUGAUGAAGAUGUUGACAACCAAGAGAAGAUCACAUUUGGUGACAAUUCAAAAGGCAAGGUCAAAGGAUUAGGAAAGGUUGCUAUAUCAAAUGACAACUCCAUCACCAAUGUGCUCUAUGUGCAAUCCUUGAGUUUCAAUUUGCUCUCGGUUGGACAACUUUGUGAUCUUGGAUUUGAAUGCCUAUUCAAGAAGAAGGAAGUAAUUGUGACCAAGGAAGAUGACAAUGAAGUAAUUUUCAAAGGGUUCCGGCACAACAACUUGUAUGUGGUUGAUUUCUCAUCCGAUGAAGUUGAUGUCAAGACUUGCUUAUUCACCAAGACUUCACUUGGGUGGUUGUGGCAUAGAAGGCUAGCACAUGUUGGAAUGAGCACGCUCAAGAAGAUGAUGAAGAAAGAAUUGAUUAGAGGCUUGAAGGAUGUGACAUUUGAAAAGGACAAGCUUUGUAGUGCAUGUCAAGCGGGCAAACAAGUUGCAAACACUCAUCCAACCAAAGCCUAUCUCUCUACUUCAAGAGUGCUUGAGCUACUUCACAUGGAUUUGUUUGGACCAACCACAUAUGCUAGUCUUGGAGGCAACAAAUAUUGCUUGGUCAUAGUUGAUGAUUUCUCCCGGUACACUUGGACAUUCUUCUUGCAAGACAAGGCCAAAGUUGCAUCAAUAUUCAAGAAAUUUGCAAAGAAUGCAAAAAAUCAAUUUGAUGUGAAGAUCAAGAAAAUUAGAAGUGACAAUGGCAAAGAGUUUGACAACACCAACAUUGAAGAGUAUUUUGAUGAAGUGGGAAUCAAGCAUGAGUACUCCUCAACAUACACACCACAACAAAAUGGGGUUGUAGAAAGAAAGAACCGGACAUUGAUCACCUUGGCAAGAACAAUGCUAGAUGAGUACAACACUUCGAAGAAGAUGUGGGCUGAGGCAAUCAACACGGCAUGCUAUGCUUCAAACCGGAUCUUUCCACACAAGUUCCUAAAGAAGACACCAUAUGAGUUGCUCAAUGGGAAGAAGCCCGAUGUCUCAUUCUUUAGAGUGUUUGGGUGCAAGUGCUACAUCUACAAGAAGCGCCAACACUUGGGAAAGUUCCAAAGAAGAUGUGACAUUGGCUACUUGGUUGGCUAUUCAUCAAAGUCCAAGGCAUAUAGGGUCUUUAACCAUGCCACAAACAUGGUUGAAGAAACAUUUGAUGUUGAAUUUGAUGAAACUAAUGGCUCCCAAGGAGCAAGUGAUAAUCUUGAUGAUGUAGGUGGUGAACCGUUGAGGGAUGCCAUGAAGAACAUGCCCGUGGGAGACAUCAAGCCUAAAGAAGAUGAUGAUGAUGUGCAAGUCAUUGAGCCACCAUCCACCUCACAAGGUCCACAAGAUGAAGACAAGGAUGUGAGAGAUGCCCAUGAAGACACUCAAGUCACUCAUGAGCAAGCGGUGGCACAAGCACAAGAUGUUGAUGCUCCCCAACCAACCCCUCAAGUGGCACCAAGAAGAACAUCACAUCUCCUCCAAGAUCACUCUCAAGAUCUCAUCAUCGGGAGUCCAUCACGUGGUGUAACUACUCGUUCUAGACAUGCUUUAUUUAUUGAACAUCACGCUUUUGUGUCUCUUGAAGAUGAACCAAAGACUAUAGAGGAAGCUCUUCGUGAUGCGGAUUGGAUCAUAGCCAUGCAAGAGGAGUUGAACAACUUCUCUCGCAACCAAGUAUGGACAAUUGAAGAGCGACCCAAAGAUGCAAGAGUGAUUGGAACAAAGUGGGUCUUCCGGAACAAGAAGGAUGAUCAAGGCAAAGUGGUGCGCAACAAGGCAAGACUUGUGGCAAAAGGCUUUUCACAAGUGGAAGGUCUUGACUUCGGUGAAACCUUUGCACCGGUGGCAAGACUUGAAGCAAUUCGUAUCCUACUUGCAUAUGCAUCUAGUCAUAACAUCAAGUUAUUUCAAAUGGAUGUGAAAAGUGCCUUUUUAAAUGGUUAUAUUAAUAAGCUUGUCUAUGUUGAGCAACUCCCCGGUUUUGAAGACCCUAGGUACCCCAAGCAUGUCUACCGGCUGUCCAAGGCUCUCUAUGGACUCAAGCAAGCCCCUAGAGCUUGGUAUGAGAGGCUUAGGGACUUCCUCAUUGAGAAGGGCUUCAAGAUUGGGAAAGUUGACACAACACUCUUCACCAAGAAAAUGAAUGGGGAAAUCUUCAUUUGUCAAGUUUAUGUUGAUGAUAUUAUUUUUGGCUCUACUAAUGAAGAUUUUUGCAAGGAAUUUGGUGAUUUGAUGUCCAAGGAGUUUGAGAUGUCCAUGAUUGGCGAGCUAUCCUUCUUCCUAGGAUUUCAAGUCAAGCAAAUGAAGGAAGGAGUCUUUAUCUCCCAAGAGAAGUACACUCAAGAUCUUCUCAAGAGGUUCAAGAUGAUGGAUUGCAAGCCAAUCAAGACUCCCAUGGCGUCAAAUGGGCAUCUCGACUUGGAUGAGGGAGGUAACCCUAUUGACAAGACUCUCUAUCGCUCCAUGAUAGGAAGUCUACUCUACCUCACCGCAUCUAGGCCCGAUAUAAUGUUUAGUGUGUGUAUGUGUGCAAGAUAUCAAGCAAUGCCUAUGGAAUCUCACUUGAUUGCGGUCAAGAGAAUUCUUAGGUAUCUAAAAUACACACCUUGCCUAGGCUUAUGGUAUCCCAAAGGUGCAAGAUUCCAACUUGUAGGCUAUUCCGAUUCGGAUUAUGCCGGGUGCCGGAUUGAUAGAAAAAGCACAUCCGGAGGGUGCCAUUUCCUAGGUAGAUCACUUGUCUCUUGGAUGUCAAAGAAACAAAAUAGUGUUGCUUUGUCAACGGCCGAGGCAGAAUACAUAGUCGUCGGUGCUUGUUGUGCACAAAUACUCUACAUGAAACAAACUUUGCUAGACAUGGAGUAGUACUAGACAAAGUACCUUUGUUGUGUGACAACGAAAGUGCCGUAAAACUUGCAAACAACCCGGUUCAACACACCCGCACAAAACAUAUUGACAUCCGCCACCACUUUCUUAGGGAUCACGUUGCUAAAGGUGACAUAUCCCUAGAGAAUGUGGGAACGGAAAAUCAAUUGGCGGAUAUCUUCACAAAACCCCUAGAUGAAGCUAGGUUUUGUAUGUUGAGAAAUGAACUUAAUGUGCUUGACCUAUCCAACUUCACUAAAAGAUAAAAGUUGUGUGUUGAAUCUUGUAAUUAAACUUUUGCUUUGCAUAUCAUGCAUACUAAAACUAAAAAUACAACUUGCAUGUAGAGCUUGUCUAACAUGGUUAAGAUAACCCCCUUGAGUGUGUGAAAAAGCUUAACCUUGGAUCAAACUUGACAAGCAUUAGUUUACUUUCAAGUAUUGCAUUACAACUCAUUUCAUAUGCAUGCUUGUUAGUUGACCAUUUCUUUUCGGUUAUUCGUUGAGCAUCCGCUGUGUUCGUCCAUAGAUAGGGGGAGCAUUCAAAGCUCAUUGUGAUUCCAACCCCUAGCUUUAUGGCCAUACGAUGCUCCUUGAUGUUUUUUCUCGAUCUAUUUUCAUAAAAAUCUACUAAGCCUAUAGCUAAAUAUUUUGUGAAAAUUUGAGGGUUUGAGAGAAGUCACUCAUACCAGUUCCAUUUGGUGUUUAGUUGUGUGCUUUUGGAAAUGGAACUUGGUUGGGUCAAAGUCGGACAAGGUGCUUAGUUGAAAAAGUGCUCAGAGGAGCACCGGACGAUGCACCGGACGCUGCCCCUGUGCGUCCGGUGCGGUGAGUGUGCCAGACUGCACUCACCGGACGCAGGAACAGUGUCCCUGCAGCGUCCGGUGAGGUGCGUCCGGUGCUCACCUGGUGUGACCUGAAGCACCGGACGCUAAAGCCAGCGUCCGGUGCCCAUCGUCCGGUGCAAUGCCAAUUUGCAGACCUCUCUGCGCAUGAGUCCGGUGGUCACCGGACGCGUCCGGUGCCACAUUAAGAGCGUCCGGUGACCCCGCGGCGGGCGGAUAUAGCCCGCGCCCAGGGGCUCUCCGCGGCAGUUUUUUCUCUUCUUCCUCGUCGCGCCCGUGCCCUAAGCCGCCGUAAUCCGCCGCUGCCUUCGAAGCUCAUCGAAUCCGCGGCGCCCUCGGCUUUCCUCCUCGCGACAGAUCUGCUCCAAGGCUCUCUCUUUCCCCCCCUUCUUGCCAGAACUCUCUCCUCUGCGAAGGGUUAGGGUUUGGGUAAGAUCCUUUGAAAGCCCUAGUUUGGUUUUGGAUAAUUGAUGAAACCCUAGUACUAACCUCUAUACUAAGUGUGUGUAGACUUAAUGAGGUUGGUAUAUGCCAAGUGAUGGAGCAAGUGAUGAUCGUGGUGAUGAUGGUGAUGACCACAAGAUGAUCAAGUGCUCAACUUGGAAAAGAAGAAAGAGAAAAACAAAACCCUAUGGAGAUCAAGGCAAAGGUAUUGCUUAGGGUUUUGGUUUUGGUGAUCAAGACACCAUAGAGGGUGUGAUCACAUUUAGGAUAGAUAGCCAUACUAUAAAGAGGGGAAUUCUUUGGCUAAGCGGUUAUCAAGUGCCACUAGGUGUCAUUGUUCAUGUGCAUGCAUUUAGAACCUAGUGAGCUAACUUAACUCCUUCAAAGAAAAUGAUUGUGAAAAUGCUAACACACGUGCACAUGUUGGUUCACACGUUGUGGUGUUGGCACACUUUGAGAAGGGAGUUGAAGUUUGAAGGGUAGAGAGAGGAUGGGUUCCUCUCUCCCUCCCGCCGAGCUUGCGAGGCGGGAUUCGGCGCUUUUCGAGAAAAUGAAGCGCAUAUUUUCUAUUGCACCGGUGGGAAAUUUUGGAGGAGUCACGGGAGUGUUCCUCGCAGAGAAACACUCACCGGACGCUGGCCACUGAGGCACCGGACGCUAAGUCUGAGCGUCCGGUGCAGACAGUGCAUGGCCCAGUUAGGGUAAGGCACCGGACGAUAGGCACCGGACGCUGGCUUGAGCGUCCGGUGUGCGGGCGUUUUGCGACCCUCUCUGCGCAUGGGUCCGGUGAGCACCGGACGCUGAGGGUGCGUCCGGUGGCUUGCGUCCGGUGACCCUACGAGUUUGCGGAACUCUCUGCGCAUGAGUCCGGUGUGCACCGGACGCGUCCGGUGCUAACUUGCUCAGCGUCCGGUGCUCUGCAGGUUACCGUUAGACUCUGACACGCGGCUGACGUUAGAGCACCGGACGCUGGUGUUGAGCGUCCGGUGCCCCUUUAACAGCGUCCGGUGACCCCGCAGUUUGCCCAGUGAAAGAGCCAACGGCUCUAUUUGUUUGAGGGGUCUAUAAAUAUGUGUUUGGCCGGCUUGGGGCUAAUUCUCUUGGCAUUCUAACAUACUUGACAUCCUUGUGAGCCUAAGCAAACACCUCCCACUCAUCUCCUUCAUAGAUUAAACAUCUUUGUGAGAUUGGGAGUGAUUCCAAGUGCAUUUGCUUGAGUGAUCGCAUCUAGUGGCACUUGGGGAUCGUUCUAGCUGUGGCUUUCUUGUUACUCUUGGUGGUUGCCGCCACCUAGACGGCUUGGAGCAGCGGAGGAGGAUUGGCACGAGUUGGUGAUUGUUCGUGGCCAUCUCUCGGUGAUUGUGAGGGGUCAUGUACCUUCCCCGGCGGAGAGCCGAAAGGUAACUCUAGUGGAUUGCUCGUGUCAUUGAGCUACCUCACUUGUGGGUAGGUUCUUGUGGUGUCCUAGUGAGGACGAGGUUCGUGCUACACCUCUUAGCCACCGAACCACCAAGUGUUGGUCGACACAACGGGGACGUAGCGUGCCGGCAAGCACGUGAACCUCGGGAGAAAAUUGUGUGUCUCCUUUGUGAUUAUUCAUUGGAUUUCUCCCGGUGAUUGGACUUCAUAUUAUUGAUUGGUUCAUCCCCUCUACGCGGCGGUAUAAAGAUCAAACCAUCUCUUUUUACAUUCCCGCAAACUAGAGUAUCUUUCUUACUUGCAUAGAAACUUUAGGUAGCUCUCUAGUGUAAGUAGUAACAUAGCUCUUGUGUGCCUAGAGAUUAUAUCAACUAGAAUUGUUAGAUAGGUGGCUUGCAAACACCCCUUUAGAGCUAGAGCAAAAAGCUUCGCUUUGUUAUUUACUAACUCCUUGCUCUAGUGAGUUUGUAGAAUUUUUAAAUAGGCUAUUCACCCCCCCCUCUAGCCAUAUUAGGACCUUUCAUCCUUGGACUUUGCCCUCAAGGUAUUUGAUCGUAUGUGUCAACGGCAUUCGAUUUAGUUUUUGAUUUCUAUCUCGAUUGCCUUCUCGUUGCAGCAUCUUGAGGAAAAGAUUUGCAUUCUUCGGUGGUUAUCGAUUGAAAGGUUUCGUCCGGAACGCAUCUCGUCCGUGGAUCGUAAGCUUUUCGCGUCCAUAUCUUAUCUAUCCUUGCGAUCUAUAGGUUUGUCUCAUCUCUAGUCGAUAUAUUUUCUUAUAUAUAUCCUAUCUUGUCAAUUUCCUGCAGCGCGCUAAUCUCCAUUGUCAGUCGGUUGUCUGUCGGACGCUUGUUUGGCAAUGGCUCGUACCAAGAACGUCAGUGGUCCGACAGCUGGCUCAGGAGGUUCCCCAGGAGGCGAUGGUGGAGGUGAUCCUCCUCGUCGCCUAUCAGCAGCAGAGAAAGGCAAGGGAAAGAAGCUGGCCACCAAGAAGCGCAAGGCCAGUGACAGAGAUGCAGAGGUCGCAGAGGCAGUGGCAGCAGCAGCAGAAGCCGCAGAGAGAGGUGGUCGAGCAGGUGCUUUGAGGAUUGGAGAUGAUCUUACGCCGCGACAGAGGCGUGCAGUGCUUGAGGCAGAGGCAUUCCACGGAUCCCCUCCAGGCACUGUAACGAUUGGAGGACAGAGGGUUAGGCUUGUGGUCAGGGAUCCAGCUCAGGAGGAUCCGGACACUGAGACAGAGACCCAGGCAGAGGGUCCAGCAAAGGGACAGGAGCAGGAGCAGUCACUGCGGAGGUCGACUCGUGCUCAUACUCGGGCCCCUCCCUGGACUGGUUCGUAGGGACAGUCUACCUCCACAGCUCGUGCCACUUCGGCGAGAGGCACUCCAGCUUCCCGCCAGAGGCCAGUCAGGAUCCACAGGGAUCUCACUCUUGUGUCAGCACGAGAGAUCCAGCAGCUGCGAUUUGUUCCGUUUCCGACUUGGUUUCCAGCUGCCAGGGAUCCCAGAGCCGGUGCCCGUUUCUACACCGUCGUCCAGGAGGACAUUCACAAGACAUUGGUUCGCUCUCAGUCUCAGUUCAGGGAGCACAGGGUGAUUGACCUAGAGAUUCUCGGGAACGUGGUCGGGGCAGAUAUUCGUCAGUAUUUCACUUACCUCCACGGACUCCCAGAGCUGCUAGCGCUCUCCGGUACUUAUUGUGAGCAGUGGGUCAGAGAGUUCUAUGCGUCAGUUUGGAUUUCUCCAGAUCACAGCUAUAUCCACUACGCACUGGCAGGGACUGACUACAGAGUGACAGCACAGUUGGCCAGACAGGUGCUUGGACUGCGAGCCUCUCCCACCAGGAUUCACCAGCUGUGCUACGGGAACGUGGAUCCCCCUCGUCGUCCUCAUGGUGGUGAGAUACCACCGGUCGACUUCGUGGCUCCAUGCUUCCGUGCACCUUUUGGGGAGGGCUCCAGCAGGACAGUGGGAGACUUGACACGCCCAGCCAGGAUCCUUGACUUCGUGUUGAGGAAGACUCUUCUCCCCAGGACAGGCUACAGAGACGGUUUCACUCGCAUCCAGCAGUGGUUAGUUGCUCACCUCAUCUCCCAGACAGAGUUUGACUUGUGGGAUCUGAUUGUCUCAGAGAUAGAGGACACCAUCUCAGAGAGCUUCAGGGGCCAGCGUCAGUUGCCCUACGCACAUUGGAUCACCCUGCUUAUACUUCGUGCUAGGCCACUGCCCCUACCAGCUCACUUGCACAGGGAGUUGACAGAGUCCGACACCGUCUUCCCCCACUACGACCCUCGGCAGAUGUUGAGAGCGCACCACGACCUCAGAGGUGCCCCUCCUCCUCGUGCUCCACGUGGACCGGUGCCCCCGCCUUCUCCUAGGGGCACCCACAGUACAGCAGCGGUUGCAGAGACAGAGGAGCAGCAGGACAUAGCUAUUGGCGCAUUUGCAGAUGCAGAGGCAGAGGGCGAGUUCGACUUCGCCUCAGACAGCUCAGAUGAUGACUAUCAGCCGCCAGUGACUAACCUUCCUCCCAGAGCUCACGACCACGAGGCAGGCGGUUCUUCGAGUGCUUCAGACCCCACCUUGCUUGCUAUUCUAGAGGGGAUGAGGGCAGAUCAGCGCCAUGCAGCUGAGGAGCAGGCAAGGCGCGACAGGGAUCAGGCUGCCAUCAAUGCAGCCAUGCAGGCCAGGCAGGAUGAGCUCCAGCGUCAGCUUCUCACCUUUCAGGAGCAGCAGCUUGCUUUCCAGGCCCAGCAGACAGCGAUGAUGGCCGCUCUCAUGGCCGCCUCCGGGAUUCAGCUACCGCAGAUUCAGCUCCCAGGCACGUCGUCCGUCAAGCCACCUACUCCUGCGCCCCAGACUCAGAGUCCGUCACAGCAGCCGCUCCAGCUACCCGCUCAGAGUCAGCCGUUUUCGACGCCUCAGCACCAGGUCUCUCAGGGUGCUAUCUCUUCAGGCUUUGAGCAGGUACCGCAGUUUACCCCUCUUCGCUCCAGAUUUACCCCUCAGUCAGCUUCAGCAUCACAGCUUGUGUGGGACUCACAGACAGAUCCGCACCUCAGCUUCACCUACAGUGCUCUGACUGGUGACCCUACGCCUCCUCCUCUGCAGGCUCCUGCAGUCUUUAUGGCGCCAGUUACCACUACAGAGCUUCUGUCGUCGUCAGUAGCGUCGUCCGAGCAGCUUGCAUCGUCUACUACAGUACCAGAGACGACAGCCACAGCGACCGAGUCCGUGCCAGCUUCGUCAGCCGGACUUGAGAAGCCAGCACAGCCUGUGACAGCACCAGAGCAGACCUGGACCGCUUCUCCAGCACCUGCAGCUUCAGAGGGUCACUCCACCUCCUCCGCCUCGACGGCCGACAGUUUAGAUGAUGCAGCUCGCUUCGUAGCCGUGCCGAGGGACUCUACUGCUCCGCCUCCUCCACCGACUUCUUAGGUUUUUGGCGCUUGAUGCCAAAGGGGGAGAGAGUGCAUAUGAGAGAGUUAGGAGUUAGGGGGAGCUAGAGAGGGUAUUUAGGAGUUUAUUCUUUUGAGACACCUUUAUGUGUGCUACUCUAUCAUGCAUCACGUUUAUUUUUAUGCAUUGCACUUGUGUGAGAUACUAUGGUUAUGAGACAUGAUUUGUGCCUUAUGUGUUAUCUUAAUGUCAUGUGUUUGGCUCAUAUUUUCUUUGCUUCCGCGUUUCUACUCCGAUGUAAUUAUGAGCCCUAUGUUUAUAUCCUAUCGUAUAUCACUCACAUAUUUGGAUGCAGGGUAUUGGAUUUGGUUGAUAUAAGCAUCACUAAUUCUUUUGUUCUUAUUGUAUCAUGCUUAUUGAAACCAAGUCUCUUUAAAAACCUCAACUCUUUUCAUACUCGAGGUUGUCAUCAAUCACCAAAAAGGGGGAGAUUGAAAGAGCAUCUAGGCCCCUAGUGGUUUCGAUGAUUAAUGACAUUGUUGAUUACUAUGACUAACGUGUGUUUUGCAGAGGCAAAGUCAUAGGUAAGGUCAUGGUAAAUAGGUACUCGAUGAACAGGGACGUACAUGCCUACUUAAUAGUGGAAAUUGUUUUUGGUUUUCAAAGGACGGAUGGACAUCGUCAAGACUAGACUAGGUCUAGUGCCAUAUGGUGAAGAAGGGCACUUAGAGUAGUUCAGGACUUUGUUCUUCUUUGACCGUACUAUUAAGAGGGGCUUUGAUCUAGUAGCUUGACUUAGGCAAGGCUUUAGGUUUAGGUGUGGUGCACACUUGGUAAACCUAGCACUAGGCAGCUCAGAGAUAGUCCUUAGAUCGAGAGGAACCAACUUCGUUUUGGAGCGAUCGCGUUUCGACGAAGUUUGGGUGCCCAAAGGGGCACCGGACGCUGCACCGGACGCUCUGUGAGUGCGUCCGGUGAGGUCCUUAGCCGUUAGAACAGUGCCGUGCUUAGGGUUAGGCACCGGACGCUAGCACCGGACGCACCGAGUAGCGUCCGGUCCCUUACCCAGGAAGGUUGCAAGCCUUCCCUAAGCACCGGACGCUAGCACCGGACGCGCCGGGUAGCGUCAGGUCCCAUGCGCAGGGAGCAUGUAAAGUUUUCCCGAGCACCGAACGGUGCACCGGACGCUGAGAGUUAGCGUCCGGUGACCUGUUAGAGAAAAGUGUAGGUAGCCGUUAUGUCACACCGGACGCGCGGUGCAAUGCGUCCGGUGCAACAUAAUGUGCGUCCGGUGACCCCGUUUUCAGUGGAAAACGGUUGGCCGACCUUUGGACUUUGUGGAUAGUAUUUAUACUCCUCCACCUCGUCCAUAAGACCUCUCUUGCCCAUUUGAACAUCAGAGAAACUUGUUGUGGAGCAAGAGAGUUGCAAGAGCCUAGAGAGGAUUGAGUUUUGAGUGAAUUCUUGAGAGAAUCCUCCUCUAGUGAGUUCCAAGAGUCAAGUGUGCAUCCACCACUCUCUAGUGCCUUGUUUGGGUCAAGUGAGAGUUCUUUGCUUGUUACUCUUAGUGAUCGCCAUCACCUAGACGGUUCGGUGGUGAUUGGAGGCACGAAGAUCACCCGAAGUUCUUGUGGGUGGCUCGUGUCAAGCUUGUGAGCGGUUUUGGGCGAUUCACCGCGACGGAGUGUCGAAGAAUCAGCCCGUAGAGAGCACUUGGUCCUUGCGCGGACCAAGGGGGAGCAAGACCCUUGCGCGGGUGCUCCAACGAGGACUAGUGGAGAGUGGCGACUCUCCGAUACCUCGGCAAAACAUCGCCGAGCACUUUCUUUCACUACUCCUUUACUUUCUAGCAUUUACUUUGUGCUUUUACAUUCUUAGAAUUACCAUGCUAGAAUAGGAUUGGAACUAGGUUGCAAAACUUUUAUCCGGUAGCUUUCUAGGACACUCUAGGCACAAGGGGUGGAAUUGGAGCUUAUAGGUUGCUUAAAUUUUAAGAGAAGCCCAAUUCACCCCCCCCUCUUGGGCAUCUUGAUCCUUUCAGGGGUGUUUGCGGAAAGACUUGCUGCCCAAGCCAUCCACUAUUAGCAUUCAUCGGUAUAGGCCCUGCCGAUGACUGGUAAUUGGGCAUUAUCAUUGAAUUGACAUACCCUGACUGAGCCAUAGACCUCUGUUGCAUCAGCAUUGAGUCUGCCGAUGCGUUAGGCAUCUGGAACAUUGGAGCUUGAGAAUUCCCCGUGUAAGGUCUUGCAGUAGUAGUUGUAGUAUACUGGGGACUUUGAUUCAUCGGCAUAUUAGGAGGUGCCGAUGUCAUAGGAGUCUUGCCUCUCAUAUCAGUCGUCUGCGACGUACCUGGGGUUAGCUCUGGAGGCAUACCAUAACCCCACCAGUUAGGAGGAGGAGUCAAUCCUGACAUUGCCGAUGCCAACAGAUCUAUAGCGAGUUUAAUCUGCCCAUCUGAAGUCGGCGGAUUGGUUGUCAUCGGCGUAGAUUGUGCAUUGGUGACUCCCAACGUGCUCGGAGGAACGGCAGUCUGUGCUCCCAUAGCGGCUGUGGCAGCCGAUGGAGCUGUAACCACUGGUGACUCCGGCUGGUGAUAAGUGGGGCCCACAUAAUCUGGUGGCAACUGUCCUUCCUUGAAAGUUCUUGCCACGGUAUUGAAAACCAUAUUAGACAGCACACUAGCUUGAUUGAUCAAAGCACGGUUGAUAGCGCUGUCAACCAUCUCCUAAAGUUUGCCAGGAUUGGCUUCAAAAGUAACCUGUCGUGGUGCCGGCAGUGCAUCCUUCUGGAUCACUUCGCCGCUCCUGUUUAUGCUGAAGGACCUCAGGCAUUGCUGCUUGUAAUCCUCCAUGGCUUUAGCAAUAGCUUGCUUCUGCUCAUCCUUGAGAUUGGCUUCCGUCACGGGGAUGACGUUCUCUUGAUCUAACUCAGAAGUCGACAUGUUGAUCUUGAUCUUGAAUCAGUCCCACCGGGCGUGCCAAAAGAUGUGUUGGUGUAAAAGCUGAUCUGCAAACACAAAGGGCUAAUACCCGAUUCAAACGUUAAGGCGUGCCAGCCGAUUUGACCUUACUAUCGACAAAGGUGGUAACUCGAACACUUUGGUCCCGACAACAGCGAUGUGCCCGGAUGUCACGGCCAAGAGGUAUUCACGCGGAACUUGAGAACACGCCGAGCUUAAGUCGACGAAUUCCUAAGAACUCGUAAUAAAAAGGAAAAAGUAUGACGAAGUCGUUGAAAAAGUAGAUGCUGUAAUAUGAGUAAAAACUUGUGUUUGAUUGAUUGAUAGAUAUCUCAUUACAAGGCCCUAGGGUCUACAUUUAUACCCUGCUCAAAGAGCUACAACCAGACACGACUAGAACUCGAAUUCCAAAUUACACAGAACCCGUAUACAAAACGAUUUAAACAACUAAGGAAAACAUAAAGCUAUCCCCCCGUGACAAACUGGAACUCCUCCACAAACCGAUCGGCAACUUCCAGACUCUUCCCCCAUGUCAUCGGCAGACUCCCUUGUCGUAGCCAUCGGUACAGACACGUCGUCACCUGUGGACUUAGUCAUGUUCAACCAUCCUUCCAUCGGCAACUCUCCCUGUAGAUCAAGCACCACCAUCUCAUCUUGCCGAUCCACACUUUACCGAUCAUGGACACGUGCCCAAAAACGGUGUCAACACAACCAUUGAGAAAUAGUGAAAGACUUGUGAUAUUGUUUAUAAGCGUUUAUAACCUAGGGUACCUCCUAUCAGGGAUUGUACUGUUCAUGGAUCCGAUACUGUUGGCAAUUAAUGGGUGUGCACUGUUCACCGGGCCCGUUACUGUUAAACAUAACUUGUACACACUUUUUAUUGGAUCUGUUACUAUUUAGCAUAACAGACGUAUUGUUCAUUGGAACAUAAUGGGUAUGCUGUUCACUGGAGCCAUUAUUGUUCUACUUGACGGGUGCACUGUUCGCUAGAUCCGUUACUGUUAAUCUCUACAACUAAAAAGAGUCGGAAGUCAUCGUCAGCCCUCCCUGAUCGCCCCCCCUCGCGGUAAUCACCCCGCGCUAAUCGCCCCCCCUCUCGCGACCCAUCGCCCUCCCCCCACACGCAACCGUCGUCGUGGCCUCGUCUCUCCCGUGGUCAACCUGCGGUCAGAAUCUGUUCCUCCCACGCCGCAUCCCUCACCUCGCUGCGCCGCAUCCCUCACCUCGCUGUCCAUCCGCGCGAAGCUGCGCUCCAUCGCCGCGGUCCAGGAAGUCGCGCCACCCGCCGUGGGAGCCCUCCGCCAGCGCGAACGCCUCGCGCACGGACACGGCGUCUUCCAUCUCCCUCCUGCGGCCGGCCACCGACGCGGCGCCGUGCUUGCGCGCCACGAGCAGCUCCCCGGCCUCGAGGCUCCGCUUCCUGCACCGACGCCGCCCUGCUCCGUCCAGGCGCCUCCCCCACCGACUUCCAUCCAGGCGCUGCUCCGUCCUCCGCCUCCCCCACCGACGCCGCCCAGUCCCUGCAGUGCCUCUCCUUCCCUCCCACGACACCGCCAACUACAACGGCGAGGAUCGAGAUGGCAGCAGGGAUCCAUGCCGCGCAGUUCCCAGCGAAGCCCGACUCCCCGUACGGCACGGUGCAGCCGAGCACCGCCGGUGGCCGCGGCCGCAACUGCCCGCCCAGCGCCGCCCGCGCCUCGCCUCUACCGAGGUCACCACGCCGCUGCCACGUGCGACGAUGGCCGCCGCCCCGUUCCCCAUCAAGGUCGCGAGGCACGCAGAUCCGUGCUUCAUCCACGAAAUCUGGGCAGUACAUAUUUCUUUUUGCAUUUCAUUUGUUUCGAUCAUUUGCUUUAGAAGUCACCAAUUGAAUCUAGGCUAUCAAUUUUGAUGCACGUUAUAUGAUUGGAUGAGAUCUUGGCAAAAUUAUGCUCCAUUCCCGUACAUGAACUCAACUGAGACAGCCUAAGGUAAGGGAGUUGGAAGAAAGAAAGGGACUGUUGCAAAAAUAGGUUUCCAUUAUAUGAUUGAAGGGUUAACCAUUUGCAUUUAGUUUUUUUGGUUUUGUCAACCUGUGAGUUAGUAGAAAUUAUGGAAGGACCACUUUUGUAGUGUUAGAAGAGAAUUUCAGACAGCUACAUGCUUUAUUUACAUGCUGUGUUUGUUAUGUAAAGCUGUAAGAUUAGGUACUUUAUCAUAUAUAGAUUUUGCUCGUGUUAUGUAAAAAUGCAAAAUAAUAACAAUAAUAUUAUUGUGCUUUUUAGUUGUAGGAGAUUUUGUAUUAACUUUGUGAUGUGAAUAACCUUCUACAAAAAGGAAGGUUAUAAGGAUCAAUUGCUUAUUAACACGCCAUCACCACUGCUACUGGGAGAAGUUAGUAGGUAAGUCAUACAUGUUAGAAUUCUUCCACUAUGCAAGUUUCUCAUAUGUUUUAUCUACUGCCUUUGUGUGCUGAAAAAAUUAUCUCAGUUCUACAUUGCUGAUUUUUCAAUUUCGUAUAAGUAUGCAAAGAAUUGGAUGAACAAGAUUUGCAAUUAUUAAUCACAUAGGAUUAGAUAGCUUUUAGGAUGAUGAUGAACCAAAGCAAGUGGAAGAGCACUCAGAGGAGACAAUUUUGAUUUUACAUAGUGACGAGGAAGAGCCGAUGCAAGUGGAUCCACUUUGUUUAUUGUACCUUUGAGCAGUCUGCAGUACAAAAUCCACUUCUGCAGAAAUGUAUAUAUAUAUCUUUUUUAUUGCUGCAGAGGUGCAUGUACAAAUAUCAACAGUUGUAGUUUUUGUUAUUUGCAUUAUGCUAACUAAACCCCUGUGAAUUUCAUCCACUUCUCAGAUAACAAAUGAGCUUCUGUUGAAUUUUUUUCUCAAAGCAUAUGGGUUCUUGGAGUGUGCUAUCCAGCAUGGUAUUCCUAGGAUAUUUCCAGAAAAUAGGUGAGUACAGGACUGCAGGUACCAUGUUAAUCCAUGUGAAUGGUUUAUACAGGAUGCUUAUUAACUUGCUUGUGACAUGGGUAUAUUUCCUAGCUCAUAGACUGCAACAGGUCAAUUGCCAUCUCAGCGGCAUAAUUAAACAUAACACUUAACAUUAUUCAAGCUUAGCACCUAGACUGCAAUUUUGGAACUGACCCCCCCCCCCCCCCCCCCAAAUUAUUCAAAUAUAUAAUGAGAGUUUGUCCAAUUCUUUUAAUAUAGUGGCAUGUUUCUCGGCCUCAAUGGGGAAAAUGGUAUGCUUUACUGUUAUAGUUACAUUCAAACUGUCCUUGCUAAAUCAGCUUAUAUCUAUGCACGUCUUCAUAGAACCUGUGAGCUUUUGUCUGAUUCUACUCUGCAAUUAUAUAUAUAAAAGCCAGAUUGAUAUUGUUUUAUUUUCUAUGAUUUGAUAAUGUAGAGAUCAUAAAAAGCAUAGAUAAAAAGCAGCUUGAACUCGUGCUAGAUUUUUCAGCGAUGAUGAUGAUGCUAACCUGAUUUUCAGUAGUACAGAGGGGUACAUAACCUUAUUAGUUAGUGCCUGCAACGUUGUAGUAUUAUUCUGCUACUUUUUAGGAUUAGUUUGUUGAGUACAAAGUGUAUGAGUCUUUGAUCGCUAAGAUAUGUGGAAACCCAUUGUGAACCUUUCUUUCAAUGUUUAUGCAUGGAAAAUAUUUGGCUCAUGGAAUCCUAUGUUUCUGUAUUGGCGUUUUUUUCUCUAUAUGUGAAUACAUAUCACUUAUUGAUUCUAUUAAGACAGUAUCAGUCAACAUAAUACAAGUUCUCUCGUAUAUCUUUAACAAUACAUGCCUAUUUAAUAUUCAUUCCAAGUGAUGGUUCUGUUAUCAUUGCCAAUUUCUCCAUCCCUUUUUAUCUGCUUAAAUUUACUGGAGUACCCUAAGUACGCUUGAUCCAAGUACAUGCAGCACCCUAAGGAUUUAUCUCCUCGAUUCCCUAACAAGAUGAGAGGUCAGUUGGCUAUAGUUUUUAUAUUAAUUUUUGUUUGCUCUGCUUAUUAAGUUUUGGAUUCAACUAUAUUUGCAUUCCAGCCACAGACAUGAGUGGAUAUUAAACCAAAUAAAAUUAAGCUGAGGUCAAGCAGGUAUACUUGCAAUACUAUGCUUGACACUAACAGCUGCAAUAGUGCAGGUAUUGGAGCAAUACUACUGUUUUUUCCUGAUAAGAUUUAGCCUCAUGUUUUGUACUAAAAAGCAACAUGCUUAUAUUCUCAAAAGAAUUUAACCAAGAAACAGCCACACAGAUGGCUUGAACGACGCGAGUAUGCAGUAAAUCCACAUGGUUUAUUCAUUUUGUAGCUGAUUACAUUUUUUAUAAUUUUAAAAUUAUAUAUGACUUUUGUUCCUAAAUAAUUGCUCUUUCAGAAUGCAUCUAAUUUAAUAGUACUUGGUUAACUGCACUCUUGCUGAUUUAGUUAAUUCAUUUUGUACUUUUGUUUUUUUAGAUGCAGCACUAAUAUGGAAAUAGCAUCUGAAACCGUGAUGCCAUCUUCAAUGGUGAUUUGUGCCAUGGUUUCAAGACGCUGCACACCUCCUAAUCCAAAGGUCCCGGCUUGAUCUUGGCAACCUUGGCAAUUUGGUUCUUCCUCCAUGUGCACUCCACUAUUUUUUCAAGAGUAAAAUCUCUUCCUAAUUACAUUUCAAGAUUAAUAUUAAGAUAUCGCUGAAAUACUAAAUUAUGGGUCACUAUAUAUUUGUCCUCUUAAGGUAAACCCUCUCUCUUCUUACAGUUAGAUCUUUUCUAUUGUAUAUUUGAUCUAAAUAUUAAAUCCAGAUUGGUUAGCAUGUUAGUGACCCGCGUUGGACCUUAUAAGGCACCAUUGAAAUUAUAGAAGUAUUUUAGUAUUGCUCGACAUUAAUUUUGUUAGUAUUUGUUAUAGAUCAUAUGUUUCCUUAGCAUUUGUAGAGGAAUUGGUUUUUGAUAAAAAGAGUAACAUAUAUGAUGCUUAUAGGUCAUUUUACAACUCUUCGAAUGAAUUUUAGCAUGUCUUGUUUCAAAUCUGUUGCACAAGCUCUCCCUACAUAUGUGAUGAUCGUGUUCAAACUUCCAUUGAACUUGUGCGAUGACCUGAUGAAGAGCAUUGUCUUUUGGUGGGGAGCUAAAAAUGGCAAGUGGGAGAUCCAGUCAAUACCAUGGGAACAAAUCAUACUUCCUAAGAGCUCUGGAGCUUUGGGUUUCAAGGAUUUAAGACUUUUCAAUAACGCUUUACUUGCUAGACAAGCACAGAGGCUGGUGGCCUUCCCAUAUAGUCUAUGUGCGUGUCUUUUGAAAGCUAAAUAUUUCUCUCAUGUAACUUGUUAAUGUUCCAGCAGCUGAAAGAUACCAAAUAUGGAGACGAAUUGGUUAUGGCUUGGAGAUAAACAUGGUGUGCUGUACAAAAUUGGUGACGUGAGAAGUACAAGGAUAUGGAGGGACAACUUGAUUCCUCAGGGAAAACUUGAGACCAAUAGGUAGUGCCUCUGUUUGUCGUCCUCGAUGGGUGCAUUGGUUAAAUGAUUCUUAAGGAGUGAUCGGAAGUGUUCCCAAGUAAAGAAAUCGUGCAAUUAAGUGCCAAAUACUUUAGUUUCUUUAGCUAGACGCUGUAAACAUUAUGUGACUUGGCAAGGACAAGUGUCUGCAACUCUGCAUGUGCUUCCUCCUUACAUCAUGCCGAUUGUAAUUCGUUGAUAGCUAGCUAAUAAAGCUUCUCUCUCUGCUUGAAAAAAACUCUUUGGAUGAAACUGUAGCUAGAAGAUUUGCGAUGUUACUGAAACUUGAAGAUCAAGCAUCAUGGUGAAAGACAACAUGAGUGCAUUGCAUGGCAUUAUGAGACUGUUGGAAGUUCAAUGUCUGUCGCUUCUUCCAUGCCCAAGAGACACUGCUAUCUCUUGAGUUUGACGCCUUGAUCACAACAAUUGAUAUUUUACAACAUAUGUUACCUGGUGAAUAUCUUUUCCCAUUGUAACACAUAGAAAUCAUGUUGCCUAUCGUUCACAUGCCCUUUCUAGAGGUGUGCGUGGUGACUGACCAUAUUACCUAAAGGUAUUUACAAUAGAGUUUGUGAGCUUGUGAUGUUGUGCUCUCCAUGAUUAUAUAAAUUUUAUGAAUUUUGUUUUUUAGAUUAAAUAUCACUUUAAUAUUAAUAUCUAAUUUUUAUAUUAUUAUUAUCUUAUCAUACGAUCCGUGUGUUUUAAAUAUAAAAUAUUAGUUAUCCCGUAGCAACGCACGGGCACACUACCUAGUGUAUAAUAAAAUAUGUUGUUAAUAUACAGUAAAAUGUGAGAAAGAUGGUAGUAUACGAUUAUAAGGGUAAGUGAAAAAUCACGCGUAAUGGAUUCUGAAAACAUCCCGCUAUGGAAUAUAGGUGGGCUAGGCUAAACUCCUCUCCACAUUAUAUCAUGAUGUAUAGUGCAUGAACCGGAGGCCGUCGAGCGGAUCUAUCUUUUGAAUGGUAAUUUAAAUAGAGUACAAGAAUAUUUCAAAAGUACCUUAAAAUAGUCUUUAAAUGGUUUUCAAAGUAUUGUUUAAAAAGGGUUUUACAAAUGUGUUUGAAAAUCAAGUAUUUCAAUUUUAUUCUCAUAGUUCGUAUUUUCAAAGUUCAAAAUGUUUAACAGAUCACAUAAUUUGAAUCUAGUUUAAAAUUGUGUUUGAAGAAUUAUAAAAUCCUCCUUUUUAUCGGUGACAGAUUUCAUUCCAGAACUCAUCUUCUAUUAUUUUUUUUUGUUCUUUACUUUUAUAUAUAACUAGCCAAUUGCACGGGUAGCAACCAUUGAGAAAUAGUGAGAGACUUAUGGUAUUGUUUAUAAGCAUUUACGGAACGAGAUCCUCUGCUGUGAGGGGCAGCGACUGCUUCCUGCAGUCAGGGGUAUCUCACCGUUCACUAAAAUCGAACGGCAACUGAUUCCCAACGCUCUGUUUAUAUCUAGCAUUGUUUAGUUUACUUUAAAAUCUUAAAUUUUUAAGAUUUCUCGUUAUAUCCAAUCUGUAGACACAUGCAAGAAAUACUAAAUAUAGACGAAAUAAAAAUUAAUUGUACAAUUUAACUAUAAUUUACUAGACGAAUCUUUUAGACCUAGUUAGUUUAUGAUUAGACAAUAAUUAUCAAAUACAAACGAAAAUGCUGCAGUAGUCAAAGCCAAAAAGACUAAAAAAGGCCCGAGUCUUCUGAGCGCCGCUGAGCCUUGGCCAACUAACACAACAUUGUUGCUGGCGUUUUUGGCGCAAGGUAGGCAUGCUCUUUAGGCCUUGUUUAGUUCCCGAGAAAUUUUGUAAAAUUUUUCAGUUUGUCUAUCACAUCGAAUCUUACAGCAUAGAAAUGAAGCAUUAAAUAUAGAUUAAAAAAUAACUAAUUAUACAGUUUGUCUAAUUUGCUAGAUGAAUCUUUUGAGCCUCUGUUCGCUUGUCUUAUAAGCCAUACUUUUUUUUGUCAGUCGACAGUAUUUUUCUCUCACAAUAAAUUAGCAAACAUUACUUUCAGCCAUGACUUUUUAGAUAAGUCAUGAUUGGAUAAUAUUUGUCAAAAAUAAACGAAAGUGCUACAGUGUCCAAUCGUGCACUAACUUGUUCGCCGGUCUCAAAAGCCAUGGCUGAAAGUACUAUUCGCUGAUUUAUUGUGAGAAAAAACACUACUGGCUGAGAGAAAAAGUACGACUUAUAAGACAAGUGAACAGAGCUGACUCAAAAAAUUCGUCAAACAAAUUACAUACAAACUGUAUAAUUAGUUAUUUCUUUAAUCUAUAUUUAAUGUUUUAUUUAUGUGUUGUAAAAUUCGAUGUGAUAAAAAAUCUGAAAAAUUUUACAAAAUUUCUCAGAAACUCAACAAGGUGUCUGAGCAUGCGUACCUCGCGCUAAAAAUACCAGCAACAACAUUGCGUUGGUUGGCCAGGCCCAGCGGCACUCAGAAGACUCGGGUGCAAGCAUUUGGAGUUAGUUGCCGUUCGAUUUUAGUGAACGGUGGAUGCCAUGAACUGCAGGGAGCAGUCGCUGCCCCUGACUGCAGACGAUCUAGUUCCAGCAUUUACACCUAUCGAGGAUUGUAUUGUUCAUGGAUCCAAUACUGCUGGCAACCAACGGGUGUGCACUGUUCAUUGGGUCCGUUACUGUUAAACAUAACUGGUAUGAACUGUUUAUUAGAUCCGUACUAUUCAGCAUAAGCUAAGCCCAUCUCCUCUCUCUGUGUCGCCAACGGGUGGGCCCCGCACUCAGUUGUCUUGCACCUUCCGCCGCCGCUGGCCGGCACAUCCAGUUCCACCAUUGCUGUGCGGGCAAUUUAAAUAUUUGCCCUCCUUACGGAUGGCUCCUCCUCACUUGCCUCUCUUAUAAGUGCAAUUAAAGAUUUGCCCUGGGUAUCUCUUCAGUCAUAUAGAUUUACCCAUUUUAGUUAUGUGGCAGUCCAACUCAUCAUGCAAGCUUGGAUUGGCUAUGGAAAAAGACUGUAUUGCCCCUCCCUCUGUUUUUUUGCUCUACAAUGUGAAGAAAAAAAGGGGCCGACGAGUUGGGGAGGGGAGAGGGGUGUACUGCGUGUUGAACCUGGGGUUGUGGAGGUGCACAUGGAGCCGAGGGCACCUGGAGCCGAGGGCCUCUUCUCCUUGUCGCCGGGCACCUGGAGCCGAGGGCGGACAGGGAGGGGCGCGAGGGAGCUGAGGACGGACGGGCAGGGGCGCGAGGGAGAGGGCGGAUGUGGAGGGAGGCCGGAGGUCGCCGCUGUCGGGCGCGUCGCCGGAGAGAGAAGGGGCGCGUCGGGCUCGCGGUCUGGAGGCGUCUGUGUCGGGGGGCGAGAGACGCGAGAGGGGCGCCCACGCGAGAGACCGAGCGAGAGGGAAGGAAGAGAGAAAAAACAGAGGGAGGGGCAAUACGGUCUUUUCCCAUAGCCGAUCCAAGCUGGCAUGAUGAGUUGGACUGCCACGUAGCUAAAAUGGGCAAAUUUAUAUGACUAAAGAGAUACCUAGGACAAAUUUUUAAUUGCACUUAUAAGAGGGGCAACUGAAGAGGAGCCAUCCGUAAGAGGAGCAAAUAUUUAAAUUGCCCGUCCAUCAAUCGAACCCCACCACCGCACUCCCAUAACUUCCCCUCCCAAACCUCGUUCUUCAAUCGCCCUGUUCAAGCACAUAAUGGCAUCUAAGCCGGCAAUAACCAACGCCAUUACUGCCGGACCAAGCUCCACUACUAGCCAUUCCUCUCUCCUGGAGCACCCCGCGCACUCACUACCACAGCGCAGCCAUCAUUGGUCCCCUUGUCCGCUCCAUCACCAUCAAUCGCCGCUGCCAAGCUUCACAGUAUCCAUGGCCGCCGCCUCGAUCUCUCCUUCCCGACUAUCUCCGUUGCGUAGAAUAUUGCAACACUCGCCUCGCCAGAGCCAUACUAACCUGCAACCGCUUCUUGUUCUUGCCGAGGACCACUGUCUCCAACUUCAAUUGGAAUGCUGAAUCUGGACAGAUAGGCAGACUAGUCCUGCUUGUUCUUGUGACGGACUGUGAUACUGGGUCAAAUUUGGCACCUUUAGUUUCCAAUUUUAAUCCAAUUGUUAGUUGUUACAACAAUUCUUUUUUUUAUGAAGGUGACUACUAUUGGAGCUUCGAUUCAGUGGCACGCGUUUUCCUAGUCUAGUCUAGUCAACCGUAUCGUCAACUCCAUCACAGCAGACACUCCCUCCGUCCAAAAAAAGUGUCGUUUUAGAUUUUUGUGCCACAAGUUUAACUCGAUUUAUAGAAAAUAUGUGCAAUAUUUGUGUCUCUAAAUAAAUUUGGUAAAAAACUAGACUUAAGAUCUUUUCAAUGAUACCAAUUAUGUACUAUAAAUAUUAAUAUUUUUUACUAUAUAUUUAGUUAAAAUUAUUUUUUAGAAAGUGCAAACGACACUUAUUUUGGGACGGAGGGAGGAGGGAGUAGUCGUCAAAGAUAUAUGAGCACGGGAGCUUUGAAGCUCCUAUCAGAGCACUCCAAGUUUUGCACUCUACUAGUUCUUUUAGCUCCUUGUAUUUCUCAGAAGCUAUGUGCUCCAUCGUCUCCCUUCUCUAUUGCUUACUUAUCCUCUUGUCUAUCAAUAUUACAGUAGUCACAUCUGCUGAAGCAAACAAAACAGAGAUCGACCGGCAAGCACUCCUUUGCUUCAAGUCCGGCAUCUCCUCCGACCCUCUGGGCGUCUUGAACUCAUGGCGCAACACCUCACGCAACUUCUGCAACUGGUCAGCAGUCACUUGUGAUGUGAGGCAUCCAAUCCGUGUGGUCUCGAUAGACCUCACCUCCAUGCAUCUCACUGGACAGAUAUCUGGUUGCAUAGCAAAUCUGACAUCUCUGUCGCAGAUACACCUCGCAGACAAUAGCUUAUCUGGAGCCAUUCCUGAUGAGCUGGGUAUGCUUCCUGGUCUCCAAACUCUGAUGCUUGCUGGCAACCAUCUUGAAGGUAAUAUCCCUGAUUCGCUAGGCUCUAGCAUGUCUCUCAGCUAUGUUAAUCUUGCAAACAACAGUCUCACUGGUAGUAUCCCUCACUCGUUGGCCAGUAGCUCCUCACUCAGCACGCUAAUCCUCUCGCGUAACAGCCUUACUGGUGAGAUCCCGGCUAAUUUGUUUUAUAACUCAUCUGCCCUUACUACGGUUGAUCUCCAGAUGAAUUCUUUCACUGGUGUUAUCCCACCUUUUGAUAAGGUCACAGCCCUCAAGAACCUUUGUGUUACUGAGAACUUCCUUUCUGGAGGUAUACCUCCUUCGAUAGGGAAUAUUUCUUCUCUCCGCUUUGUAUUGCUAGGCCAGAAUCUACUUACAGGAUCAGUUCCAGAAAGUUUGGGUCACAUUUCAGAACUUUUUGAACUGGAUCUCAGUUUCAAUAGCUUGUCAGGCUAUGUCCCCAUGCCCCUUUACAAUUUGUCUUCACUCAAAUACAUUAGCUUAGGCAGCAAUCGCCUUGUUGGGCAGUUACCAUCUUACAUUGGCUACUCACUACCAAGUCUCCAAGUCCUUAUUAUGCAAAGCAACAAUCUGGAGGGCCUGAUCCCUGCUUCACUAGAAAAUGCGUCAAAUCUCCAAGUGCUUGACCUAUCAAAUAACUCCCUGUAUGGUCGUAUUCCAUCUCUUGGGUCGUUGGCAAAAUUGCGUCAAGUGCUUUUAG